UGGAACCUUUUUAGACCGCAUCGUUAUUAGCUCAUCUCCUGCUCGUCCCUCAGUUGAUCCAUGCCCAAGGUGUGGCGAGAACUCGAGGGAUAAUGGUGUCAUCCUAUCCUGCAUUGAUUGUUUUCUUGACGGUGGCAAGCUCUACCUCUUUGAGUAUUAUGUCCCAGCGGCAGCCUUUCUCGCCAAACCUCGAGGGGGGACUUGCACCACUGCCAAGUCCGACCCUCCAGAAGAGGUGAUCCACCGUGCUACUUUCCUCCUUGAGAACGGUUUUGGUGACUACAACGUGUUCAAGAACAACUGUGAGGACUUCUCAAUCUACUGUAAAACGGGUCUUCUUGUAACAACUGUCCUCAGUGUUGGUCGGAGCGGGCAGGCGACAUCCUUGUUUGCCGCUGUAAGCACUGCUGUUUCUUUACCACUCCGAUAUUUGAUUGCCGGCUACACUGGCGGGACAGUUUUCGGCUAUGGUUUGUAUUGUGCUAACCGAUAUGCUUCUGAUAUUGGAGUGCGUCGUGAUGCGGCUAGAGUCCCAGUUGAGAGUCUUGUUCGCCGCUGAUACUUACUACCAGCUGCAGCGGCCUGGUGGGUGUGGUGAUAUGGUAUGUAUUGUGUUAGCAGAUAUGUUUCUGAUUUUGGGAGUACGGCGUGAUGUGGUUAAAGUCCUAGUUGAGAGGCUUGUUGGUCAUCCUAUCUUUGAACCAUGCUAGUCUUGCGUCUGAUGAUAUUUGCCAGAGAAUAAUGAGUUUUUCACUCCAGAUUAUUUUUUUUGUUGGGUGCUGUCUUUUUUCUUUGUAUGAUUGUAUCAAGACGUGUCUCAUUACUCAACUGGGUCCUCAUAGAUGUAGAAUUAUGAUUUAAAAGAUGUACCCUGGAUAUUUAUAGGACUCGGAAAUGUGUGUUGAUAUUAUAUUACAAGGAUGCAGUUUAAUUAAAGUUCAACUUGAAAAUAUGCUUUAAUGGAGAUGAACUCAUGAAUAAAUAAAAAACACACGAGGAAACUUGAACUUCAUUAAGUGAAAUCUAAUCAUCCAUCCAAUUGCAUAUUGAUGGAACGUCAGACAAGCAAGUUACAGUUUUAUUCUAAGCCAAAGAAUGGUUUAUCUAAAUUUUUUGAUUACAUACGAUUUUUCUUAUCUCCUCUCUUGAUCAAUAACCUCAAAUCAAAAUUGCUUUUCCCAUGCUAUGUUAAAAGCUUGCUGUAUGUGUAUAAGUUUUUUUUUUUUUUUUUAAAAGCUGUAUUUGCAUGGUCAGUUAAGAAUAACUAAAAAUUAAUAUAAUUUUGGUAGAAGGAUAAAAUAGCAGAUGUAAAAGUGGAACUUGUGAAGAACAAAAGAGGGGUUUUAGUAACACCACUUUAGAAGAAAUCUGCUACGAAGCCCACUAGCAAACCAAACCAGUCCAAAAAAAUCUAUUAGCCCAAAGAACUGAAGAUAUCAAAUUGUGAAAAUUGAAACUGAAAAAGCGUUAAUAAAAUAAAAGAGACUCCUAGUUGAAACAGUGAAAGAGAGAUAAAGUGCACAUAAUUUUAUAUAUUUUUAGGAUCAGCAAGCAUGACAAACAGCUCACUGUUUAGUCAAGUAAAAUUUUGAAUUUGUUAUAAUAUUUUAAAUGAAAUCUCCUUUUAGUAAAACAAAAUAUUAAUAAUAAUAACAAAAAUAACGAGAACUAAAUUUCAAAUUAAAAUUUGAAAUUUAAAACUUGUAAAUUGUAAUUAAUAAACGAGUAAUGUAUUUUGCUUGUAAUUCUUAAAAACCCCUUGGUAGUUAGUAGUAAUUACCCUCACGCCAAAUACGUUAAUGUUCAAAAUAAAAUUAAAUUAAAGAUUAAAAAUUAAAAUUCCUUUCAGUUUCAGAUUAAAGAAAGCAAAAUAACGAAGGAAGAAGAGACCAGAGAGCCUUACAAGCAAAGGAAACGAUUAGCGCCUCUCUCUCUCUCUCUCUCUCUCUCUCUCUCUCUUGUUUCUUUGUGGUCUUACGAAGAGAGAGAAACAAGCACGUUGGGUGGAAUGGGUUUGUUCUCAAAUAAGAUCAAGAGAGAGGAGCUCAAAGCUGGCGAUCACAUUUAUUCUUGGCGAAACGCCUACGUUUAUGCCCAUCACGGUUGUUUCUUUUUUCUUUUCUUAAUAGAAACUGUUGUGAUUCUCUCCUAGUGCUAAUCCGUCAGUUUAAUCACUUAUCUAUUGGGUUACUUUUGGUUACAUUUGAAUUGCAUUUGAAUAAGCUAAUAGUUUAUUUUAAGUAGUUAAUUGUCAUUAGGGAGGUUAUGUUUGAAUUAUUUUUUAGUCAUUUUUCACUUCCAAGUUUUUAUCAAGAACUAAAUCUUGACCUUUAAUACUUUCUCAAGAUGUAUGAUGGCAGUUGGGUUUUCAUCAAUUUUGGAUUUUGAAAUUUACCCUGGGAAAUUUUAUGUUUGUUAAUUUUUAUUUUGGUUGACAUGUUUCUUAUAAUUAUUGGAAUUUAGUAGGUGAAGGCGUGAAGCUCUGACUUUAAGCUGUAUUGGCUUGGUGUUUUUAUGUGUAUUUUUACUCUUUAUUUCUAUGGAUUUCUUGCACUUAUGUUGAAUCAUAAACCUGCUUUGCCUUAGGUUUAUGUGAAAAAAUGUUGGUGGACUUGUUAUCUGUGUGUUAUUUUAGACUUGAUUGAGUAUUAUUCAGAUGGAUUAAGGGUACAAUUGUCAGUAUAGCAAGUUGUCUUCACAAUUGCAGUUUGGAAAAGUGUAUUGAUUAUUUGGAAGUAAAGAAGACUUUGAAUUUUGCUUGUUUCCGGUUUGGAGAAUUUUCCUUGUGAUAGAUAUUAGUCAAAACCAUGUUGUCAUUAAUGGCAUAGAUGAACUUCAGUGGUAUACGGACAUGCCUAUUUUCAAUUUUAAGAGUGCUAAAAUCUCAGUUUUAUCUCUUGCUCUCUAUGGGUUUCACACCCAUGUAGUUUGAAUUGUAUACGUGAAUAUCUAUUGUGUAUUUGAGAUCGUUGAACUGUGACCCAAAUAUGAAGUUUUGAAGUACUGAGUGACUCAAAUUAAAUAAUUGGUUAUGUCAAAUGAAAAGCAGCAACUGUAGAACACAAGCCACAAAGACUAAUGCUUCUUUUCCAAUUUAGACUAUUGAUUGAACUUAUCACAACUUUCUUAAUUUUGACAACGUUUGGUGGAGUCUAGUUGCACUUCUCCUAAAUCUAAUACUUAGAAGGAUUCUUUAUUUUCAUGAGAUGUUUCGUUCAAGUAAUUGUUGAUUCAGUCUUCCUACUGAACCUGAUAUGGACAGUGCAGAUAUUUUUCCUCAAACAGAAUAUACCUUCAUUGGUUGGUAAUUAGACUAUUCAAUUCACUUUCAUGGACAAACUUUUAAAUAUCAUGUGCAAGCUGCAUUGUAUGUACCAAUCAGCAAGUGAAAUUUUGAAAAACCUUUUAGCAUAGGAUUAUAAGAUUCAAUAAUAGUUUUGCCAACUUACACUUCCAAUAUGAACCAGGAGUAUAUGUUGGUGAUGGAAUGGUGAUCCAUUUCACUCGGGGAGCAGGUCAGGAAAUUGGCACUGGAACUGUUUUAGACCGUAUCAUUUUUAGUUCAUCUCCUGCUCGUCCUUCAGAUAAUCCAUGUCCCAGGUGUGGUGAUUACUGGAGGGAUGAUGGAGUCAUCCUAUCCUGCAUUGACUGUUUUCUUUACGGUGGGGAGCUUUACCUCUUUGAGUAUGAUGUCUCACCAGCUCUCUUUCUCGCCAAACCUCGAGGAGGGACUUGCACACUUGCCAAAUCUGAUCCACCAGAAGAUGUCGCCCAUCGUGCCAAUUUCCUCCUCCAGAAUGGUUUUGGUGUCUACCAUGUGUUCAGGAACAACUGUGAGGACUUUGCAAUCUACUGUAAAACAGGUCUUCUUGUGAUAACUAGCCUCAGCGUUGGUCGGAGUGGGCAGGCAGCAUCCUUGCUAGCUGCUGUAAGUGCUGUUGUUUCUUCACCGCUCCGAUACUUGACUACCAGCUGCACUGGCCUGGCAGCAGUGGGUUAUGGAAUGUAUUGUGUUAGCCGAUUGGUUUCUGAUAUUGGAGUACGACGUGAUGUGGCUAGAGUCCCCGUUGAGAGGCUUGUUGCCCAUCCUAGUUUAGACGAUGCAAGUCUGGCAUCUGAUAAUAACGCCAAAGAAGGAUGAUAUAUUGACUCCCAAUUAUCUUUUUGGAUGUGUCUUUUGUUGUUGUAUUAAGUGUCUCAUUGAUCAUUGGAUGUAUCUUUGUUGUACUAAGUGUCUCAUUGGUCAAUUGGGUCCUUCAAAACGUAGAAAUAUGCUCUUCAUUGUAAUGGGAUAUUUAUUUGUAUCCAUUAGCCUCACUCCUGACUUCUGUUUAAAACUAGAAUAUGAGUUUUUUUUUUUUUAAUAUUACAUUACAAUGAUACAGCUCAAUCAAAACCCAGCUUGAUAAUUUGCUCCAAUAAACGAACCCUUGAGAUGAGAAGGUGACAAUCUCCAAGUCUCAGGAGCGGUUACUGGUUGAGCUGUAAUUCACAGUUUCACAUACACAUAAUUUUUCUUGUAUCCUCUCUUAAUCAGUCACCUUAAUCGAAAAUUACUUCUUCUUAUUACCACUACUACACUAUCUUGCUAGUGGGACACCUUUUUUUCUAUUUUUUUUGCCAGAAUAUAGAUGUGUUUUUUUUUUUUUUUUUUGUUCAACUAAGUCUAAGAAGAUAAAAAUCCUAAUUUUUGUAACAUAAUAAAAAAAAUCAAAACUAAGAUAGAGAAAACAUUAAAGUGAAAUUUUGGAGCAAGGGAGGCUGAAACUCUUGGCAUCCGAGAGGCCCUUAGUUGGCUUAAAGGAUUGCAGUUUCCUUGUGUUAUUCUAGAGACGGAUUGCUCACGAGUGUUCCAAGCUUUAGUUGAGCAGUUUUCGAGGCCUAAUGGUUUUGGGUUAAUAAUUGAUGAAUGUCGAGCUUUACCUAUGUCUAUAGGAGAGUGCAAUUCUCAUUUGUGCGUCGAUCUGCGAACCUACCUGCUCACUUUAUUGCAAGAACAGGAGGUUCUAUGUCAGGUGCUCAAGAAUUAAAUUUUGUUCCACCUUUGAGGUUAUUAAACAGUUUGUAAUUCGCUUUGUUUAAUGAAAUUGCUUUCCUUAAAAAAAAAAAAACAUUAAAGUGAAAUUAGUUUUAGAUGUGACGUCCAAUAUCUAGCUUAAUUAAUUACAAAUAUAUUGUUAGACAUUUUUUGAAAAUAUUUUGAUGGGUCGUGUUAAAGGGUUUGGCCAACACAUGGCACGUUAUCCGUUUAAUAAUUCUUUCAUUAAUUUGAUAAAUGGAUUAAGAAUAUAAACUUUAAUACGAUAAAAAAAAUGUUGAUUCGAAAACAAUUCAUUUAAUAAUUUUGGAUUUUUUAUUUGUGUCACAUUAUAUUGAGAUAUUUUACCGAGAAUUGACCUAAGUGAGUUUUCCUAGAAUUCUACUUGUGAAAAUAUAUCAAUAGAAUCGUAAAAGGGAAUUCUGCCGGUUGAAAAAAAAAUGUAAAAGAGACAAUAAAAAUUUGAAAUCAUAACUGAAAUUAGCCGUCGUCCGUCACCACCCUAGCUCCGGUGUCACCGUUUGGUAGGCAAAGUGGUGUUGGGUACUCCUUCAGAGUUAUUGUUAUUAUUUUCAGCCUUUGGAGAUUUUAUUUUGUGGUUGUUUGUUUAUUUAAUUUUAUUUUUUUGGCUGAUGGGAAGCAAUUUAAACAAUUUAAAUAAGUUUGCUUUUUAAUUUGAGGAGUUUAUAUGUUAUGAUUGCACAUUGGUUGCGGCUAGGAAUUUGGUUCUUUCCUUGUUGCAUUCUUUUUUGCUAUGAUUCAAAACGUUUUCUCUUGUAGGAACUUUCAGAGAUAGAGAGAAAGGAAAAAAAAUUAAAGACGAUUGUAGUAAGUAGCCGACAGAUGGAGUCUCUUUCUUGCAUUACAGGUUACUUGGCUAUACUAUUAUACUCCUUCCAAAUUAUUAUUAUUAUUAUUAUUAUUAUUUGAUGUUUAGUUUGCUAAUAUAAUUGCUGGGUUUGUUAAUUCCCCAGACAAGAAUUCGUUUCUGCACUGUAAUAAGAAAAUAAAAAGAGAGAUUGUGAGUGAAGAUUAUACUUGCGUUCAUGAUCGCCUCAGUGAACUCUCUGAUCAUGUUCUUGUAAAUGUCUUAUCUUGCUUGACUAUACAAGAAGCAGCAAGGACCAGCAUACUAUCAAGUAGAUGGAGAUAUUUAUGGAAGUGGUUUACUGGUUGUUUGAACUUUCACAAUUCACUCACAACGGCGGCCCAUAAAUUUGAAUUGAGAGAUGAUAAGGUGUUUGAUGUAGAAAGGCGCAAGUUUGUGAGUUGGGUCAAUCAAGUUUUAAGAUCACUUCAAAGUCGCACCAUGGAAGAGUUAAGGAUUCGUUUUGAUGUAACCUCUGACGAUGAUAUACAUAAUUGGAUCAAAUUUGCAGUAGAAAAGAAAGUUGGAAGGCUUGAGUUGAACUUUAGAAGAUUUCUGGCUGGUCGUUGGGAAGUUGGCCAAUACAAUUUUCCACCACAUUUUGUUAGUUAUUCCAGCUUCUGUUCUCUUACAGAAUUAAGUUUGAUAAAUGUAGCUAUAACAGGAGAUGUUCUUGCACAUUUGCUGUCUUACUGCCCCCUUCUUGAGGUUUUAAGUGUUAUUCAAUCAGUAUGUCUGAAGCAUCUUAAAGUUUCUGGUUCGUUACUGAAGCUGAAGUACUUAAAGUUAGGUUAUUUGGAGUGUCUUGAAAUUGAUGCCCCGAAUCUCAUAUCUUUUGAAUUUAACGGACCAGCAAAGCCUAUUUGUUUAGGAAAAGUUCGUCUUGUUGAGGUAUCUUUUGGUGGCUCUUUUAGCAACUACAUCAUGAAAAACCUAUGCUGGCUUUCAAGUUUUCUUGUGCGAUUGCAUACUCUUAAAUUGAACCUAGCUUUGCCAGUAAGUGUGCCUUACCUUUAUAUUCACUGCAAUUGUCAUUGAUUCUUUGGCCUUAAAAUUUUGUUGGUGUUGAUGUGUUUUUGUUUCUUAUUUUAUCAAGUGGAAGGUGUAUCCAGUACCUGAGGUGGCCGUCUAUUAUAAUCUUCCUGAGUUAUAUAAUCUGAAGCAUUUGGAGAUGGAAAUAGAUUUAUUAGAUGAUGAUCACCUCCUUCCUUGUGCAUCUUUCUUGAAUGCAGCUACUUCAUUAUAUAAGUUUACACUGAAGGUAAUUUUUUUCUUGAUUUCUUGAUGAAUAAUGUUUUUCAUAACAUAGAUGUGCUUUUAGUUUUAAUGGUGCAGAAUAUAAUCAUUGCGUUUAUAUUUUGGGAAUAUUUUGUUGACAUGACUGUCUUUGCCCUUGGUCUCAGUUAUAUGAUGUAAAGCCAUUUGCUGAAUGGGUACAGACUAUCAAGGAUCACAUAUAUUCAAGUCUUAGUGAAUUAAUAAGCAUUAGGGAGUUGGAAGUGGUAGGAUUGGAAGGGUGUGGAGCUGAUACGGAUUUUGUGAUAUGUUUGAUUGAGAAUGCUGAACUGUUGGAGAAGAUAAUUAUUGAUCCUUGUAAAACAUGGAUUCUGGGAACUCCUUAUGAAUCUAGUUACAGGGAAUGUGCUGAAUAUCAAUCCAACAGAAGGCAAGCUAUUCAGUUGGCAGCAAGACUUCCUUUAUGGGAAUUUGUCAUACUGUAGAUAAAUAAAUUAUUGUGAAUUAUUGAUUGGAGUGCGAUCUGUCGUUAUUGGUAAUUUUUAUCAUUAGAUUGGAAAUGAACAAAACCCCAUUGUUUUCAUUUUCUAGUUACUGCUAUUAACGGAAUUAAUGCUGAGCAUGGUACUUUCUAAUGGUAAGUUGAUGAAAGUGUCACAAUAUUUAUUAUUUAAUUUGCUUUUACGAGUGCUAUAUGUAUAUAUAUAUAUAGCUAAGCCGCACGGUUUAAUAGCAUUAAUAAUUAUUAUAUUGUUAAAUUACUCGGGUUAAUAUUUUUUCGGACUUCAACAAAAUCUAAAAUUCUAUAUUAGAAUAUUUCUCUCUCUAUAUAUAUAUAUAUAUAUAUGAAGCAGAGGAAAAGAGAAGAAGAAACAUUUGCUUAGUCUGUAUAGUAGUCUGUAUAGUAGCCCGCGUAAAGUCAAAAACUGCAGAACAUCACAAUUUCAAAUUUAACACUCAAACUAAAAUGUAGUUAGAAAAUUUCAUAGAAUACUAAAACUGGUUUCAAAAAUUGAGCUGAAGAUGUAAUCUGAGACAAUAUUUGGAUGGUCAGUCUAGCACAAUUCUCUGACCGCCGCAAAGACUUCAGUAGUGAACAGACAUGCCUAUUUUCAAUUUUAAGAGUGCUAAAAUCUCAGUUUUAUCUCUCUUCCUUUCUAAAGGUUUUACGUUUUACACCGAUGUAGUUUAAAUUUCACAUGUGAAUAUCUAUUUUGUAUCUGAGAUCGUUGAACUGUGACCCAAAUAUGAAGUUUCGAAAUACUGAGUGAUUCAAAUUAAAUAAUUGGUUAUGUCAAAUGAAAGGCGGCAACCGUAGAACACAAGCCACAAAGGCUGAUGCUUCUUUUCCAAUCUAGACUAUAUAUUGAACUUAUCACAACUUUCCUAAUUUUGACAACUUUUGGUGGAGUCUAGUUGCACUGCUCCUAAAUCUAAUACUUAGAAGGAUUCUUUAAUUCCAUGAGAUGCUUUGUUCAAGUAAUUUUUUAUUAGUCUUCCUACUGAACCUGAUAUGGACAGUGCAUAUAUUUUUCCUCAAACAUAAUAUACCUUCAUUGGUUGGUAAUUAGACUAUUCAAUUCACUUUCAUAGGCAAACUUUUAAAUAUCAUGUGCAAGCUGCGUUGUAUAUACCAAUCAGCAAGUGAAAAUUUGAAAAACCUUUUAGCAUAGAAUUAUAAGAUUCAAUAAUAAUUUUGCUAACUUACGCUUCCAAUAUGAACCAGGAGUAUACGUCGGUGAUGGAAUGGUGAUCCAUUUCACUCGGGAAGCAGGUCAGGAAAUUGGCACUGGAACUGUUUUAGACCGUAUCAUUUUUAGUUCAUCUCCUGCUCGUCCUUCAGAUAAUCCAUGUCCCAGGUGUGGCGAUUACUGGAGGGAUGACGGAGUCAUCCUAUCCUGCAUUGACUGUUUUCUUUACGGUGGUGAGCUUUACCUCUUUGAGUAUGAUGUCUCACCAGCUCUCUUUCUCGCCAAACCUCGAGGAGGGACUUGCACACUUGCCAAAUCUGAUCCACCAGAAGAUGUCGUCCAUCGUGCCAAUUUCCUCCUCCAGAAUGGUUUUGGUGUCUACCAUGUGUUCAAUAACAACUGUGAGGACUUUGCAAUCUACUGUAAAACAGGUCUUCUUGUGAUAACUAGCCUCAGCGUUGGUCGGAGUGGGCAGGCAGCGUCCUUGCUAGCCGCUGUAAGUGCUGUUGUUUCUUCACCACUCCGAUACUUGACUACCAGCUGCACUGGCCUGGCAGCAGUGGGUUAUGGUAUGUAUUGUGCUAGCGGAUUGGUUUCUGAUAUUGGAGUACGACGUGAUGUGGCUAAAGUCCCCGUUGAGAGGCUUGUUGCUCAUCCUAGCUUAGACGAUGCAAGUCUGGCAUCUGAUAGUAACGCCAAAGAAGGAUGAUAUAUUGACUCCCAAUUAUCUUUUGGGAUGUUUCUUUUGUUGUUGUAUUAAGUGUCUUGUUGAUCAUUGGAUGUAUCUUUUGUUGUUGUACCAAGUGUCUCAUUGCUUGGGUCCUCGAAAAUGUAGAAAUAUGCUCUUCAUUGUAAUGGGAUAUUUAUUUGUAUUCAGUAGCCUCACUCCUGACUACUAUAUAAAACUAGAAUAUGUGUUUUUUAUUUUUAAUAUUACAUUACAAUGGUACAGCUCAAUUAAAACCCAGCUUGAUCAUUUGCUCAAAUGAAGGAGAGUUAUAAAUAUAAAUGAACCCUUGAGAUGAGAAGGUGACCAUCUCCCAUCUCAGAGUGGCUACUGGUUGAGCUCUAUUCACAAAUUCACAUACACGUAUAAUUUUACUUGUCUGCUCUCUUAAUCAAUCACCUUAAUCCAAAAAUUACUUUUCUUCUUCUUCUUCUUAUUACGACACUGUCUUGCUAUUGGGACACUUUUUUCUUUUUUCUUUUUUUUCCUUCGAAUAUAAACGCCUUUUUUUUUCUUUUUUUUUGUGGUUCAACUAAUAUAAGAAGAUGAAAAUCCUAACUUUUUUAACAUAAUAAAAAAAAUUAAAACUGAAAUAGAGAAAACGUUAAAGUGAUAUAUAUAUAUAUAUAUAUAAAUGUAUGUAUGUGUGUAUAAAAAGUAGUUUAAGAUGUCAUGUACAAUAUUUAACUUAAUUAAUUACAAAUAUAUUGCUAGAUGUGUUUCGAAAAUAUUUUAAUAGGUCAUGUUAAAGGGUUUGAAUUGACAUUACACGAUGGUUCGUUUUAUAAUUCUGUCAUUAAUAUGAAAAAAUAGAUCAAGAAUUUAAACUUUAAUAAGAUAAAAGAAAAAUGGUGUUAACUCGAAUAUAAUUCAUUUAAUAAUCUUAUUAAAUUUAAUAACUCAACUUUAUUUAUUUGUGGUGUAUUUAUAUCUAGAUAUUUAACCUAGAAUUGACCUAAAUGAGUUUCACUAGAAUUCUACUUGUGAAUAUAUCAAUAGAAUCGUACAAGGAGAAUUCAACCGGUAAAUAUAUAAGUAGAAAUACCAGAUUAAAAAAAAGAAAGUUAAAAGUAAGAAAAAAAUGUAAAAGAGAGACUAAGGCCAGUUUGGGAUUACGGUUGCUGAUUAAAUAAGUUACUUAUGUUAUGCGGAUGCAAUAAGCAGCUAAUUAAAAAAGUAACUUGUUUUGAUAAACUGUGUUGUUGCGAUUACUGUGAGUUUGAAAAGUAGUGUACAUACGUUUGGUAAAUUUUAUUACAAAUGUAUUAUUUUAUCAUAUAAUGACCAAAAUAUACGUAAGUUUAAAUUACCUUUUAUUUUUUUGAAGUAUAUUUAAUAAUGUUUAGAUAUGCUAUUUUCUUUUUAAAACACGUAAAAUUAUAUUAUGAGAAAAAAACUUAAUAAUUUAUUAUAUAAAAUAUGAUAAAAAUUCAUACUAAUAUAUAAUUCACAUAAAAUAAAAAAGUAAUAUACAUUACUUUCACAUUAAACUUGUUGUAAUAAAUACAAUGACUAUAGAAAAAAUAUAAAUAGAUUGAAUGUUAAAAGCCAUGGUUAUGAAAUUGAUUUUAAAAGUUAUGGUUAAUUUUCAUGUGAAAUUGUUCAUAGUUCAAAAAAAUUUAUAUAAUUAUAUGCAAGUCUUUUUUAAUCUUAUAAUAGAAAAUACAAGUAUAAGAUAAAAAAGAUUUUAAAAGUUAUGGUUAAUUUUCAUGUGAAAUUGUUCAUAGUUCAAAAAAAUUUAUAUAAUUAUAUGCAAGUCUUUUUUAAUCUUAUAAUAGAAAAUACAAGUAUAAGAUAAAAAAGGAGAUUGCCAAUUUCCUCCCUACAGUAAUCAACAUAUACCAUUUCCCCCCUGCUGUUUUUAUAAUGGCCAAAAACCUCCCUGAUAACAUAAGUUUACAAUAUUACCCUUAUUGUCAACUACUCUUUUAUUUAUAUUUAUUAUAAAUUAAAUAAAUCACAUGAAUAUAAACUAAAUAAAAAAUUAAGCAUUAAAAACAAGAAAUAUAUGUUUUGAUAUGAGAAAAAAAUUAACAAUAAAAUUUUUUCUUGUACUUAUUUAUUUUGUGAAAAUUUUCUUAUAAUAAAUAUAUAAGAAAGUUAUUAUAAAAUGAUAAAAAAAUUAUUAUAAGAAAAUUUGAAUGACAAAUAAAAAUUUAUUAUAAGAUAAAUAAUAAAAUAUUUUGCCUAUACUUUUUACAUUUAAUUUUAAAAUAUUACAAAAUGUUUAUUAUAAGAAAAUGUUCACAAAAUAAAUAAUUAAAAAAAAUUAUUAUUAAUUUUUUUGCUCAUAUCAAAAUAUAUAUUUCUUGUUUUUAAUACUUGAUUUUUUUUAUUUAGUUUCUAUUCAUGUAAUUUAUUUAAUUUAUAAUAAAUGUAAAUAAAAAAGUAAUUAAAAAUAAGGGUAAUAUUGUAAACUUAUGCUGUCAGGGGGUUUUUUGGCCAUUAUAAAAACAGUAGGGGGGUAAAUGGUAUAUGUUAAUUACUACAGGGGGGAAGUGGCAAUCCCCCUAUAAAAAAUAUGAACUUACUUGAUCAAAACUUUAAUAUUGGAGAGAAUAUAUAGCAGUUGGAGUGGUAAUUUGAUUGUGGUGGUAAUAUGAUAUCUAAUGGCAUAUAUAUUAGAGUGUAUGAAAAAUAUAACAUAAUUAUUUUUGUUAAAAUAUUAAUUAAGAUUACAAUAGGAACAAUAAAAAGAUAUGGUAGCCUAUUUAAUAAGCUAUUUAUGAAAAAUAACCCCCUACCUACUUUUAAAAGCUACUAUCAAAAUAUAACAUAAUUAUUUUUGUUAAAAUAUUAAUUAAGAUUACAAUAGGAACAAUAAAAAGAUAUGGUAGCCUAUUUAAUAAGCUAUUUAUGAAAAAUAACCCCCUACCUACUUUUAAAAGCUACUAUCAAAAUAUAACAUAAUUAUUUUUGUUAAAAUAUUAAUUAAGAUUACAAUAGGAACAAUAAAAAGAUAUGGUAGCCUAUUUAAUAAGCUAUUUAUGAAAAAUAACCCCCUACCUACUUUUAAAAGCUACUAUCAAAAUAUAACAUAAUUAUUUUUGUUAAAAUAUUAAUUAAGAUUACAAUAGGAACAAUAAAAAGAUAUGGUAGCCUAUUUAAUAAGCUAUUUAUGAAAAAUAAUCACCUACCUACUUUUAAAAGCUACUGUCAAAAUGGAGAAAAUUAUGAAAUAAACAGUUUUUACUAAAUUUACCAAACAUUAUUUUUAUCACAAAUUAUGAAAUAAACAACUUAUUUAGUUUCAACCUUAAUCUCAAACUGGCCUAAGAAAUUGAAAAUAAAACUGAAAUUAGCCAUCAUCUGUCACCUAGCUCCGAGGCCACCGUUUGGGCACUCCUUAAGAGUUAUAAUAAUUAUUAUUAUUUUCAGCCUUUUGAGAUUUUAGAUUAUGGUUGUUUAUUUAUUUAAUUGGACUUUUUGGCUAAUGGUCAGCAAUUUAAACAAUUUAAAUAAGUUUGCUUUUAAUUUGAGGAGUUUAUGUGUUAUGAUUAAUAAUUGAUUAUAGAUAGGAAUUUGAUUCUUUCCUUUUUGUUUUCCGAUUCAAAAUAUAUUCAUUAACGUUCUGUGUUUUCCUGUGUGAACUUUUAGAGAGAGAGGGAGAAAAAAUGAAAGACAAUUGUAGUAAGUAGCCCACAUAUAGAGUCUUUUUCUUGCAUUGCAAGUUAAUUGGCUCUAAUAUUAUGCCCUUUCCAAAUUAAAUUAUAUUUUUUUAAUGUUUCUUUCCUAACGUAAUUUUCGGGUUUUGGUUAAUUCACCCAAAUAGGAGUUCGCUUCUGCAUUGUAAUAAGAAAAUAAAAAUAGACUUAAUAAGUGCGUAGAACAACUGCCAUUGGACUCUUCUAACUUAACCAAGGUCCUCGGUUUGAGACUUGGAAUGCAACUGCGUUAAAUACUUGUUGAGCCUUAGUGGUCUUACCUGACUCAAAUUUAGAUUAGUCGGGGCCCAAUGUAGUUAUCGUGAUAAACAAGUUAUCGUGAAUUAUUGGCUAGAGUGAGAUAUGUCAUUAUUCGUAAUUCUUAUCAUUAGACUGGAAAUGAAAGAAACCCCCCAUUGUUUUCAUUUUUUGAUUAUUGUUAAUAAUGAAAUUAAUGCUAAGCAAAGUACUUUCUAAUGAUAAGUUGAUAUAAGUGUCACAAUAUUUAUUUUAUUGUUUAAUUUGUUUUUACGAGCACUAUACAUACAUAUACAUAUACAUACUUACAUACAUACAUACAUAUAUAUAUAUAUAUAUAUAGUAUUAAAUAAUUACACUAUUAAGUCGCACACUAUUAAAUCUCACGAUUUAAUAAAUUUUCUAGAUUUUAGUAUAUAUAUAUAUAUAUAUAUAUAUAUAUAUUUCAUAAUCUUUGUCCUCAAAAGUAGACUCGCAUGAAGUCAAAAACCGCAGAACAUCACAAUUUUGAAUGGAACACUUAAACUGAAAUACAAUUAGAAAAUUUCAUAGAAUACUAAAAUUGAUUUAAAUCCACCAACAAAGAAAUAUUUGGACAUUAGAACUCACAUUAACUAAAAGUUGUAAUCUGAAUGUAACAAUAUUUUGAAUGGUCAAUUUAGCACAGUUCUCUAAUUGCCGCAAAGACAUCAUCUAUUUGUAGAAAUUUUUAACAAGAUCAUCAGGUCAAAUUUUUGGGGCCUCUUCCCAUGAAGAUUUCACCACAGCAGCAGCAAUGCAACCUUUAUUUCUCAUAUGUGUCAAAGUAUUCUUCAUAUUUUUCUUCACACCACGACUUGUCUCAUGACGUAUUAUCAGUUUAAGCUCUGUGUACUUUAACAUUCUCACACUUGGAGAUUUGAUUAAGAAUCAAUCAAUCUUUACACCAUUAUUUCUGCUUCGCCAUUGUUAUGUUGCUUAUGUUUCUGCUAGACCACAAGAGAUUUACUCCAUACAAACUUGUUAGCAUUUAUUGGCUUGGUCAAAACAUCUAUUAAGUUUUUCUUAGUAUGGAUUUUCCGCAAAUCCACUCUUUCAUUUUCCACACUAGAUAACAUUUCAUCAACUAACAUUAAAUGUAGACCAAUAAUUACAGUUAUGUCCAUCUCAUUCCACUUGGCAUCAUCAGUUAUCUCCUUGAGCUUUUCUCUCAUUGUUGCCAAGCAAUUAUUUUUUCUCAAAAUAAUCUUUAUCUUCAUUUUCCAUAAUAAAUAAUUGUUUUGCCACCAUUAUUUUUCACCAUGAACUGUCUUUAUUAGGUUCGACUCCUACCAUUUUACGUGAACAGUAAGGUAUACAUAAACAACAAUGUAUAUGUGAAUGGUAUAGUAUACGUGAAUAGAGACAUGUACGUGAAUAGUAAGGUUUACAUGAAUAGUAAUGUAUACGUGAAGGUAUAGUAUACAUGAAAAAUAUUGUAUACGUGAAUAACGUCAUGUACGUGAACAAUACCUCAACUCUAAAAAAUAUAAUGAAUAGCUUUGAUACCAGUGUUAGGAAAUUGAUGGGUGAAGUAGGGCCACAGCUAUAAUGAAAUUGAAGAAAAAUGAAGAAAAAACACAUAAAGAGGACACAAAAAUUUACGUGGUUCGACUUUUAGCAUAUGUCUAUAGGUGAAGACAUAAGGAAAAAUUUUACUAGUAAAAAAAAGUUAUAAAUAUUGCAGUAUUUUGUCUGACCACCCAAAACCCUAAUGCAGUCAUACUCUUAAAUCGCUAGAGAAAGAAAAAUCAAGAGUUAAGUGAAAAAAAAACUAAGAGUUCUAAUUCAUUGCUGACUUUGUUAAAUUCAAGCAUCAUAUUUGGUGCUGACUUUAACACAAUAAACCUCUCUCGAGUAAUUUCUUCUUCGUCACUACUAAUUUCUUCGGUGAGUUUUCGUAUUUCAUCUCUCAAUUCAUCUACUUUUGCUUCUAAAGUGACCAUCUGCUCCAGCUACGCUAAGGGGGUAGUCACAAUGAGAAUAAUAACUACCCCCAACCAAAUUGCAAUUUGUCUUUUGGACACCACUUUAGGAGCCGUUGUAGCAUUGUGUGAGCCUUCAGUUUUAGCCAACAUGCGGGAGUCUUAAGUAGUUUCACUGCCUUCUUUAGCAGCAGUUAGAAACUUUUCACUAGUGUAAUUAUCCAUGAGAAAUGAACUGGGUUCAGUGCUAUCUUUGGGGGCAGGGGUGACUUCUUUGCUUUCUUAAGCAACAACAUGUGUUUCCUUAACAUUUUCAUUGAUAGUUACUGGAUUUCGAAUGUCAUUCAUAGCUACAUCCCUCUUAUCUUCUUUUGCUCCUGAAAAGAAUUUUUGUUGUUGCUUAAGAUUUUCACUUUAAGAGCCAUUGUAGCAUUGUGUGAGCCUUCAGUUUUAGCCAACAGGCGGGAGUCUUCAGUAGUUUCACUGCCUUCUUUAGCAGCAGCUAGAAACUUUUCACUAGUAUAAUUGUCCUUGAGAAAUGAACUGGGUUCAGUGCUAUCUUUGGGGGCAGGGGUGACUUCUUUGCUUUCUUAAGCAACAACAUGUGUUUCCUUAACAUUUUCAUUGAUAGUUACUGGAUUUCGAAUGUCAUUCAUAGCUACAUCCCUCUUAUCUUCUUUUGCUUCUGAAAAGAUUUUUUGUCCAUUAUUUGCUCACAUUUUAAUCAAGUUGCACAUGUAAAUGAAGUUUGACCAUAGAAUAUAAAAUAUCCAAACAAUUCAAAGACAAUUUAUUUCUUAGUGUGAUUAAGAAACAUAGCCAAGUCAAAGUUAAUUAACAUGUAAAAUAGAGCACGAGUUAUGGAGCUCAAUUUUGUCGCAAAGAGUAAUAAAUGAUUUAAGUUUCGAGGUGAAAUCAAAAUGAAAGUACAAGCCAUAUUUAAACUUGACUCUAUUGUAUCUAUUCAGUUUGAGCUAUUAAAUUUUGGAGCUCAAUAUUGUAGCAAAGGUAUUAUUAUUGUAACAAAAAAAAAUACAAAGUUGAAAGUGUCACACUACUACACUAGAGAUGUCUUGAGAUAAUUUUUAAAAUAUAAGGAUUAAAUGAACACUUAGUUCAAAAUAUAAUCACUAAAAGGGCAUUUACCCUUAACAUUGCAUUAAAUCUCAAAUUUAUUUAUUUUAUACUUCAUUACAAUAUUAUUUAAUUUAUGUUCUAUAUAUCUCAAAUUUAAUAUGUCUUAAUUAUGAUAGAAUUAAAUUAAGGCAAUCUAUAUUAAUUAUUUAAUUUUUGCAAAGUAAUAUUUGAGGGUACAACCUCGUUACACUAAUUUAUAGGUGAGGUUAUUUGCACUCUAAAAUUUACUCUAAACACCUUAUUAGUUUACACGCUCGUUCAAUAAAUUUUAAUGAAUAAUUUUUACUCUGCACAUAUUUUCUAAUGCCACAAUUAUCCUUCAUUAAGAUUAUUCCAUUAACUUAUUAUUUUUUCUUACGCCCAUGAGACUAGCAGCAGUCUCACCAUAUAAUCCGAGCACCAAACAUCAAUGAAUAAAAGAAUUGCCAUGAAAAAUAGCAGUGUCGCUUUUAACAUCAUUAGAUUGAUUAAUAUUGAGAGCAACAAUUUAUUGUGUGGGGAAAAGGAACGGAGUACAGAUGUGAGAAAUGCGGGUUUCGGAUCAAGACUCUGUUUGUGCAAUACUCACCCGGAAACAAUUCGUCUCAUGAAAUGUUAAUUUAUUUUCUUGCUUUCCAUUUUUCCCUUAAAAUUUAAAUUUUCUAUUUUACAUUUAAUUUUAUAACAACCUUCCCACAUGAGAAUUGCAGAGCAAUGUUAAACGACUACAUUGAAUGUGAAAUCAUGGUAAAUAAUAAUAAUAAUAAUAAUAAUAAUAAUAAUAAGGGAUAUUAUCACUUGUAUACCCUUAGGUACUCCAUUAUCAAAUUUACUACAAUACUUUGAAGAUAUAUCAGUCGUCCACCCUAAGUUGACAAAAUGUAUCUACUGUCCAUUAAACCGUUAGUUGCCGUUUAAAUAUGAUGACGCCAGAGGGACAAUCUAGUAUUUUCAUAUGAUACAAGUGAUAAUUUAAAUGUAUACAAGUGAUAAUAAGAGAAUUUAAGAGUAUACAAGUGAUAAUUUUCCUUUAUUUUAAUUUAAGUUUCAAGGGUAAAAUCUUCCUUUAUUUUCAAUUGAUUCAUGCGUGAGUGUUUUGUAACGGAAGACAAGCUUUUGCGCAACAUUUUCAGCUCAUCUUCUGGCUUCAGCGCAGUUGCUGAAGAAAUUUGUAGUGCACUAUUACACAUUAAAUUCCGGUUUCUAUACAAAUUAUAGGAUAUAACACAUAAUCAUUUUAACUAUAACUCAUUUAAAUAAUCUCUCCUCAACAAUAGUAUGAAUUAAUUUUACAUUAAAGCACUUGAGAUAUCAGGCUCCCUUUAAUUAAGGAAAUAAGAUAUAAAUUCUCUCUCUCCAAAUCUCUUUAUAUUCCUUAAGCAACCUUCCAUGAGCACUAAAGAUAACCUCAAAACAUAGUAGUCAUUUUUCACAACUUCAAAGUGCAGUUACAACUAUGAAAAAUCGAAAGAGUUUUGUGCACAAUGACAUACAGACAGACAUAAAUGUCGAAGUAAAUUGACCUAUUCCUCUGAUUUACUGUAAUUCAUAAGGAAUAAAACCCAAACCUAAAUAUCUAUUACACACGGUCUAAUAAGGCCAUAAAUCAAUUCCACCAGGCUUCUUGACAAGGAUCUGAUUGUAUUCAGGCCUUGAAAUCUGCACAGAAUUUGUCAAAUCAGUAGUAAUUCGUAGCUUACACAAAUACUGAGAAAUCCAAGCAAUUCAUGUUGUAAUCAGAGUCACAAGAGCUAUUAAAAUGCUCUAUAGAAGCUAAUGAUGACUGGAAUUCAAGACGCAAGCAAAUCAAACGCUAGAAGCGUACUUCCUAGACUGUGAGAAAACAACAUGAAGGAAUUAAGAAUGGAAGUCAGAUUUUGGCCUGCCAGGUUAAUACAAACAAAAUGGAAUUACACCUCCAAAUCAUUGAUAAGAAUCAUAUUGUGCACGUGUGCCAUGUUUCUCAGCAAUUUAAUGCUCUUGGGUUCAAACUAUAGCUGCUAAAGAGCAUAAAACAAACAAGCCAAUGAAUUGGAUGCUCUUCUACAUUUCCUAAUUACCAUGUACAGAGAAUAAGUGGAUAAUUGAUGCAUUCCAAGAGAAUAAUGAAGCAAAAAUUGUACAGAAUGUCUAUGCAUAGUUUUAUGUUAUCUGAUAAUGGAACACAUUUUAACUAACAAAUAACAAUUUUGCAUCUCACACAAGAUCAGACGCCAUUCACAAAUAUCAAAAUUCUUCUCAACCGGCACAAGCAAUAAAGUUUACCCAUCUUCGAAAAGUUCAAAGUAAUUCCUCAAUACAUCAAGCCCAAGACAUUCAAACGAUAACUACUACAUAAUAAUCCCAGCGGUAUCAACACUUUAUGGAGUCAGAAUCAAAUCACAAUCACUUGCAAAAAAUUCAGGACAGGAUUACAAACACACACUGUAAUCUGAUUCAAUAUAUGUUACUGUAUCUGCUACAAUCUUAUUCAAUAAAUGUUUCUGUAUUAUCUCCCAAUGAUACACAAGUCAACCGUGUUAAUUCUCUUUUUUUUUUCAACACAUAAGUCACCCAUCUCAGUUAUCAAUACCUUUUACAUGAAAAUUCUAAAUCUGUUUUUUUUUUCCCUUUCUUUACAAUAUAAAAAAAUAAAGAAUCGAGAGUGACGUACGAGAUCUUUGAAGACAAUAAAAGUGAUGACGAGGAAGAGAAAGAAGAGUAUCUCGAAUUCCGCCAAUCUUACGAACGCAAACACCGCACUCACCGCUCUGCUAAACGCCGAUUCAUCCUUGUUUCUAGUCCCCGCUCGCUUUUCUCGUCCCAUUUUCCGAUUCCGGUCAAGAAGAAUUUUCCAAAGCUGCUUGCUUUUUAUUUUUCUAACAAAAAUUUUCUUGCCUCUUUCAUUUCUCGAUUCUCAUUCAUCGUUGUCAUUUUUUUCCCUUGGGCCUUCUUAAUAUUUGGGCUUUUAGUUGGGCCUAAUAAGUUAGGUGUUCUUAGAAAACUUAUCUAGUGUUUUCAGUAUCAGCUAAAAAGAUUCAAUUGAAGAAGAUAGCCGUUAGCGGAGAAAUUUGAAUCCCACUAAAUAAAUUAAUAAAUUAAUUAUAAUAUUGCAUUUAAGUAACAGUAGAAACAAAUCGGGGUUAGUGAGGGACUGAGGGGAAGCAGAAUUCAGAACAGAGACAAAACGGCAGCGAUUAGUUUCGUUUCGUUUCUCAUAUAAGCUAACGGCUAUUCUUUCUCUCUAACGGACACACGUGCUUUGCCUGGGACCGCUCAAAAUUUGAAUUCCUCUCUCUCUUUUUCUUAUUUGAAAUUGACUUCUCGAACAACGUACCCCUCUCUCUAUUCUUAUCUCUUCGCAUUUAACUCGUUAACGCACUCAUUCCAUAUUACACGCUCGCGUUUCAAAUUCUUUGUUCUUUUGGCCCGUUCCAAAUGGGUAGUUGUUUGAGCAAGAAGAAAGAUUCUUCUCCUUCGUCGUCUUCAGUUGCAGAUGCUACGGUUCCGGUUCCGGCUCCGGUUAAAGCAUCUACGGUGACGGUAGAUCCGAGGAAGUGUGAUAGCACUCAAACCCAGAAAGAAUUACCGAAGCAAGAAACCAAAGAGGAAGUUAGAGAAGAGGAAGGGUUCGUGAAGAAAGAAAUAUUCGUCAUAAAACACAGAAAGAGCCACGACAAACGCGCAGUUAAUGAAGAAAUUGUUGUAAAUGCAGCGGAAACUGUAAAGGAAAAGGACGAAAUUGGAAGCAGCUUCAGCAACGGCGCCGUACGGACGUCGAGUUGCACGAAAGAGGAAGUGGAUGCGAUUCUGAUACAAUGCGGGAGGCUUAGCAGGAGCAAUUCGUCUGGGAAGACGGCGUCGUCAGCUAGAAAGUACUCCGGGUCGAAGAGGAGUUAUGACUUUGAUCAGAACGAGGGUGGAUUUGAGCGCGAUGGGGGUGACGACAGCGGUGAUACCGUUAAGAAGAAAGGGAGUGAUGAGGAGGAGCAAAACCAGAGGCAGCAUAGACAGCGGCACCGGCAAUCAAGCAGGCAGUCGCCGAAUGCACGGAGGCGGACGCCGAGUCGAGAAAGAGAUCAGCAAAGGUCGGGGAGUAGAGAGAGAGGCAGCAGUAGUGGCAGCGGGAGACGAGUCAGCAGAUCCCCCGGUAGAAGAUCGGAGAACAAUUCAGCAACUGCAACUGCAAAUGCUAGUGCUAAUGCUAAUAGGCCUGGGAAAAUGGUAUCGGUGCCUGCCACUGUCGCUGUAGAACCUGCAACGGCGUCGAAUUCUAGUGGCGUCAAGAGGAUUUCUGUGAAGAGAAACGUUGGUGAGGCGGCUGGAGCUGUGGGUUCGAGGAUGGCUGCAUCGCCUCGUUCCAAGUCUCCGGCGAGGGUAAAUGGUAAUAAUGUGAAGGAGCAGCAGCAUCCUUCGCUUAGCCGCAGCUCUUCGAGGAAGGGUGAGCAGCAUUCUCCUUACAGAAGAAACCCUUCGAGUGAAAUCGACCACCCCAACUCUACAAGGAAAGCCGAGCAUUCUCCUUAUAGAAGAAACCCUUUGAGUGAAAUUGAUCCCAACUCCCUCCAGUACCCGCAAUCAGCUUGCAACAACAAGGCUUCGAAUGUUAUUACCAACAGAGUUCGUAACAAAAGCAGAGAUUUUGAGGGAGAAGGUGUUUUUGUAAGGGAUUCCUCAGCUAACGUUCUGUAUCAGGUACUAUUAUAAACUUUUCUCUCCUUAGAAGUAUUAGAUAUACGCAAGCAUAAUUUCUUCUCUUACAGGCCAGUAACACUAUCUGUACCGGCUACCAAGUUAAAGUUUCCUUAUUAUGAAUUUGUUAGCUAACAACUUAUUACUGCUGAAAUGUGUACAUAGUUUUAAAUAUGGGAUUCACCAUUUUUCGUUGAUAUUAACUUACCUCAUGGAUAUUUAUGACUUAUGUAGGCUCCAAUUCACAAGCCAAAUGCCGAAAAUAUUGCUCAGGGAACUAAUAAUCACAAAUCCAGUUGCAGAGGUACCACCCUGAACAACAAGGUUACAGGUGCAAAUAUCACAGAAAAGGAGCAACGACAGAUUCUGGAAGAAGAUAAAGCUCAGCUGCCGAUGACAGCCAAUGCAGCAGUGGUAACUGAAAGCCAAAAACCUCAAACUUUAACAAGAACCAGGUCGUCUAGGCGAUCCAGAGACCUCGAUCUCGACCUGAAUCCCGAAACUUUGCUGAAUCCUACACCAUCAUACACUGCGUUACUGCUUGAAGACAUCCAGAACUUUCAUCAGAAAAGCACUCCUUCGGUUUCACUCCCAGCUUGUGUCACAAAAGCCUGCUCCAUCCUCGAAGCAGUUGCUGACCUCAACUCCACCACAAGCUCCAAUCUGUCAUGUGCAUUUUCUGAGGACAGGAAACCCCCAUCAGCUGAUCAGUCUAACAACAAAAAUGCAUACAACUUUUCUGCUGGGGUUAAUCUUGUUGGGAAGAAAAUGACAGAGGCUAAAGACCCUUUUGUCGAAUCUGAGGUUCUUGCAGAUGAUGACCUGAUGGAGCCAAGCUUUCAUAGGUAUGUGACUGUGAGGAGAGGCGGCAGUGAAUUAGGAGGAGUAGAUAUGGAUGGGCAAGAAUCAUCAGGCAGUAACAGCUUUGUGGGCUGCACUACUCAACAGAACUGGACAUCUUCAUCUUCGUGGGAACCCAAUUCAGCCGAUUCAACAGAUCGUUGGACAUCAAGAUCAAACAUGAAAGAGGAGGAUCAGAGUCCACUAGGUUUCCAGAGACAAGCCAUGUCUGAAGCUGCAGGCUGUGAAGCAACUAAGAACAGGAAGGGAUUUAGUGGGAAAAGAAGAGACACUGAUUACCAGCAGAAUGGAAAUUGGCGUGGCAGAGUUGCUGUUGCUACAGCUGCAGCUUCAUCGUAGCGUGUUGAUUUUCACUUCCGUAGUUUUUUUAGUUGUAGACAUUGAUGUUUUCAUGGUUGCAAACUUGCAACCAGUUUUUUUUUUUCUAUUUUUUUUUUCAAGAAAUUAACCACUUCCUUAUCUUACUUGAACGAUCUUCGUUCAAUCAAAAAAAUAUUUGUUCUUCCAUUUGAAUUUGUUUGCUUCCUAUCUUGUACUGUUCACAAUCUUUAUGGAUGCAGACAUGUAAUCACAUGGAUGCCUUUGUGUUUAUGUUUUAACUGCUUGUAACGAGUUGCUGCUGUUGAUUCAAAUUUACUGAAGAUUUCUUCUAGCAGUUCACUGUGGUGUAUAUUGUAAUUGUGGGAUGCACUGUACAAGCUCCAGCAUUUUAAAAUUACAACCUAUGCCCGUACAAGGUAGUAAUGAAAUCCAUAUUUGCCAAAUCAAGAGCAGGGAAUAAACAAAUGGUAUCCGGCCAUUUCUAUAUUCUUCAUAGACCUGCUAUGUAUAUCCUGCCAUUGCUAAAUCAGAGGACAUACCAAAAGUUAUUUUCGACGUCUACAAUGAUACAAGCCUUGAGAGAAUAGCUUUAUCAGUUCGAACCUUCAAUUAGCUGUGAGAAUGAUCCCAAGUCCCAGCUGAUCCAACUCAUACUUCUUGAGAUACAACAAUGAAGUCAUACCCAGGCUGCAAUGCUUUUUGGCUUCUAUUACUCCUUUAACUAGUAACUAUCGUUACAUAUAUAUGCCUGCUGUUAGUAUGAGUAGCUUUCCAGUUCAGAGACGUUGACCGCAUGAAUCAUAUGCUUCACUUAACACUGCCCCGAAAGUUAACCAAGUAAUAUUGACCACAGUAACAGCAGCCCCAACCAGUUGCACAGAUGAGAAUGUCCACAGAGAUAAAGAAACCUGUGGUGUACCCCCCAAAAAAAAAAAAAUCAAUUAAAAACACUCUAGAACCCAAACCUGUGGUAGAACUAUUAAAACAGCAACCUAUUCAUCAGUAACUAAUCACAGAAGUUCUCCAACUAUUUUCUGGUUUUAGAACUCUUUUUUGAAUAAUACUCUAGACAGUAAUACUGGAUUUUUAUUUACUCCAGAUGUUCUGGUUGGAUGACCUUACCCAAAAAUUGAAGCAAACAUCGGUGUUAGAAAGGUGAGAGAACUUAUUUUUGUCAAGCUACCUGAAACAUAUAAGUAAUUCAAAUCAAAAUUUUGAAUCAAUUUAGUAGGUUAUUAAUUCACGAGAAGAGGAAGAAAGAUAUCGUGAUCAGCAUUGAGUUUUGAGUUGUGGUCAGUGAAGAUCACAGGUGGGGUAAGGCUGAUGGAUGCGGGAGCACCGUUACAAUUGUGAUAAUUUUACUUACUGUACCACUCUCGCCAUUAACUUGAUACAACUCCUUUAUUUAUUUAUAAAUAUCUAUUCUGUCCACAAUUAUGGGUAAAAUUUUAUAUUUUUAUCCUGUUAAACAAAUUAUUUUUACUCUCUUUUCCUCUCCUUUACCUCCCCUUUUGGAAAAAAGUUACCUAGGACUUCCGAUUGUACUCUAUCAAGUAAUAUCGAUAGUACUCCAUCACAUAAAAAGGUAGUUGAUAUUAAAUUUAGUAGAUCUUAUAAUAAAAUUAACUAUAAAUUAUAUUUUUUAAUUUACUAUUCUGUUACAUGAUAGAGUAUUAUUAGACAACGUUAUCAUCUCAGUAUAUUGUCUCAUAAGUACUUCUCCCUCCUUUCUUCCCUAUUUGUCUCACCAUUUUUGCAUCUUCAACCAACCAAAAUUCCAAACAUCAAAUUUAAUCCCAAACAAAAGUUUAAUUAUGUGCUUUUCCGUAUGAACCACCAUUACAAUAAUGAAACCAAUAAUUUCAACAAAAUACAUUUAAACAUAUCAAUUUAAUAAAAAGUUUGGUGUUUAAACCAUACACAUAUUGAAUGAGAUGAUAUGUUUAAUUGUAUUAGAUGAAUUUUAUUAAUUGAACGACUUCGAAAUAUAUUAGAGUUUAUUGAUCAAGCAUGUUCAAGAAGAUGGAAAUGCUUUGAAUAUAAAGAGUUUGAUUGUAAAUGUGAAUUAUGUCGAAUGGUGAGGAUUUUUAGGUGUUAUUAAAGGUUUGAGAUGCAAUUAUAAUACUAUUGAUAUUAAUCUCUGAAAAUUUAAGUGAGUGAUUUUCAAAAAACUUCAUUCUACUUGACACGAGUUUAAUCCUAAAAAUAGAUAAAAUUUAAAAAAAAAUGAUACCGACCUACUCCUCUACUUUUUUAAAAUAAUAUUAUUAAUAUUCUCUAAUGAAUCAAUCAUUAUUUCUAUUGGGACAUAACCAAAAUUACUAGUUUAAAUUAUUCCCAUUUUCAGGAAGAAAUUGAGUUCCUGGUACUUGAAUUGACAAUUACGUCUAAAUUUAGCAGUGCAUUGGAAGAUUUGCUUGAGAUCAAAUGGGUGGGCAUUCAAUUCAGGUUGACCCGAACUUCAACCCAAAUCAAACCGAGCUUAAAUUUUUAUUCGAUUUUAUGUUCGAUUCGGAUUAUCAACUUAUAAAACCGAUCUGUUUUACAAUUUCCAAAACCGUGCGGUUUAUUUUUUGGGGGCCCGGGGGGAUGUUAAAGCUUACAAAAUAUAUAUAUAUUAAAAAAAAACCCAAAACUAAAAGCCCAAACCCGAUCGAAACGAAAGCCUAACAAAAUCAAAACAAACCCUGAAGCAGAAAGCCUGGAACUAUCUUGCGGUUUCUCCUCUCUGCCCACUGAAGACAGAAGGUGCCGGUGCCGGCUGCCGCUAAAAAUACCCACGCCACGACACAGCUGCGCCACGUUCUAGCCGCUGAUAGCCUCACGCGUCACCACGACAGGCACGAGCCGCCGACAGCCUCUGAGCCUCAGCCCAAAACAGUCGCAGUUCUGCCGACGGCCUCACCACACGUCAGCCUCAUCUCUCCUCUCUCAAAUCAGCGUCAGUCCACAACAACCGUACCACAGCAGCCUCAAUCGACUACAGAAACCCACGACCGCAGCUCACGGCAGCAGGCCAGCAGCCCACGAGUCCACGACAACAACCUCAGCGAACCAGCCUCAGCAAAAAAAGGUAAAUUAAUGGAAUUUGUUGCUGCUGAUUUGUUCGUUUGUGAUUGAAUUUGAAGCUUCUGGUUUGUUCAUUUUGAUGAAUGUGAACAACUUAAAUAUUAACUAUAGAUUAAUUUUGUUGAAUGGUUAGCCGUCUUUAGAAUGGAUUGUGUACAAAAUUUUUUACUCGCUGUUGAAUGGUGAUAGUAUAUUAGGAUAGAUUAAUUUUGCUGUUUUACCUUGUUCAUUGUUUACAAUAGUUGCUGUAACUCGAAUUAGUAAUUCAGUCCGAAUUUGCAACCUGAACCAUAUUGCAACCUGAAUUAACAACCUGAACCAAAUUGGAUUUGAAAUCGGUCCAAACUGAACCAAAGUAAAUUUUCAGCUCGUUUGGGUUAAAUUCUUAAACCGAACAGGUUUCAAACCAAACUGAAAUCGAAAAAACUGAACCGAAAACCAAAUUGCCCACCAAUUUUAGUCUUUUCAUUAAUUUUUAUAAAAGUUAAAACACUCGUAGAAAAUGACGUGUUGUUUUGUUUAAAGUGUAAACCCUCAUCGGUCAUGUAAAGUGCAAUAAACCAAAGCAUAAACCCUGCUAUCAAAAAUUGUGCAGCGCAGAGGGUAUCCAGGAAAAGAAAAGAUGGUGGUGAGGAUUCGAUUGGCGAGAUUCGGAUGUAAGAACAAACCUUUCUAUCGGGUGAUGGCUGCUGAUAGCCGAUCACCCAGAGAUGGUAAGCAUCUUGAAGUCUUGGGCUAUUACAAUCCCUUGCCAGGUAUCUCAUUUCCCCUUUCAAUUUACUUUUUAGAUCAAUGAAUUUUUUUUCUUGCAAUAUUCUGAUUCUAUUCUAAUGUUUAUCCUUUUAGGUCAAGACAGCGGCAAAAGAAUGGGUCUGAAUUUUGAUAGAGUGAAGUAAGCCAAUUCCUUUUUCUCUUUUAAAUAUAUUGACUUUGGUAUUCCACUCUAUCGUGAAAGUAUUUUUGUUGCAUUUGAAUACUCAGAUUUGAUGGUCAGUUAUUAACUGGACUGCGGAAUGAAUAUGUUCUGCAGCUGAUUGCAAUUUUUAUUUUUUUCUGUUCUAUAUUUCCUUUGCUUCCAUGUUCUCAACUGAAAGUAUGAACUGUUUGAGAGGCACAUUAUGGUUAUGUGAUGUUAGAGGCAAGGGCUAUAUAGAAUAAUUUUCCAAACUAAAAGAUAAGAAAAUACACACUACAAUGCAAUGUAUUUUAUAUUAUAGUUUAUUGAAAUUUGUGUUUUUUUGUCUUUUAGCUUAAUAUAGUUAAAGUCAUGGAUUCUUGACUAGGACCUAUAUAUUUAAAACAAAAGAAAAAGGGAAAAAGAAAAAAAAAACUUGAAGUGAAACUGUAGCUUAAAAAUUUGUGGUGUGCUAAAAGCAAAUGUAUGGCUCAUUUUGUCAUCCACAGUUGAUACAGUGGUUGGUUGAUCUUCCUUGUGCAAAACCUUUAAUUUUGAUCCUUAAACAAAUGAGAAUCAGUGGCUUACCCUAGCCCGAUUGAAGCCCACAUGAAUCCCCUUGAAGAGGCUUUCCUGUCAUCAAGGAACCAAUAUUUUUGACAUGGUUUGGCCUUGAUACUGAUUUGAACUCUCCCAUUUGAACUAUCAGCAUCUGUGAAAGCUGAAAUUGGAUCAGCCAUAUGCCUUCUUAGAAAAUUACUAUGGCCUGCUUUUGGUUGUUCAUAUCUAUGAUCAUAUGCAGUAAUUUCAAUGUUGACAGUGAAAAAUAUUCAUUGAAAGCUUGUUUCUAUUUAAUGGUAGAAUUAUGGCAAAGACAUCAACUGGUAAGGUUACUAUGGUCUGUUGAACUGAAGUCUGAAGCUCUUAAUUACAUUAUCUAUACGGGUGAUAAGUCUGGUUAAUUGGAAUUAUUUCAUUUUAGGUGGUCAAAUGAUCCUCAGUGAAUUUCUUUUCUCUUUUUUUUUCCUCUCCCUUUUAUAUAUCUGUGUAAGGUUGAUUAUACAAGAAUUUUAAUGCCAUCCCCAAGUUUGCGUUGUGAGAAUUGUAAGCUUAGCACUCGCAGGAAAUGAUAUACUUUUCUCUUUUGCGCUAGCUUUCUGAUAACUCCAAUGCCUAUCAUACCUAAGUAAUAUAAAUAACUUAUAAAUAACUGCAUAAAACAUAUCACUGCUCUAUCUCUGUCCAAUUUGGUUUUUCGUUAAUCUUUUCGCAGGUAUUGGCUAUCAGUUGGUGCUCAACCAUCGGACCCUGUCCAGCGCAUUCUUUUCAGGGCAGGGUUACUACCCCCACCUCCUAUGGUGGCAAUGGGACGCAAAGGUGGACCACGUGAUACACGUCCGGUCGAUCCUAUGACAGGACGUGUUUUGGAGAAGCCAACCAAUGCUAAGCAAAUAAAAGCUGAUGGUAUGGAAGGAGAGGCUGCCCCUUGAAAUGUUUUAACCACUGCCUUAUUUUGCAAUCAAAAAAUAGUUGUUCUUCCAUUGGAAUUUGUUUGUUUCCUGUCUGCUACUGUUCACCUUGUUGAUUUAUUAGUGAUUACUCGCAUGUUUUAUGGAUGCAGACAUAUGUAGUCACAUGAACGGUCUUGAUCUGGUUUUUGUGUUUAUGCACUGUACAAGCUCCAGCAUUUUAAAAUUACAACAUAUGCCCGUACAAGGUAGUAAUGAAAUCCAUAUUUGCCAAAUCAAGAGCAAGGAAUACAUACAAAUGGUAUCCGGCCAUUUCUAAAUUCAUCAUAGACCUGCUAUGUAUAUCCCACCAUUGCUAAAUCAGAGGACAUACCGAAAGUUAUUUUCAACGUAUACCAUGAUACAGCCUUAAGAGAAUAGCUUCAUCAGUUCGAACCUUCAAUUAGCUGUAAGAAUGAUCCCAAGUCCCAACUGAUCCAACUAAUACUUCUUGAGAUACAAACAUGAAGUCAUACCCACACUCCAACGCUUUUUUGGCUUCUAUUGCUUCUUUAACUAGUAACUAUCUUUAAAUAUGCAUGCCUGCUGUUAGUAUAUGUAGCUUUCCAGUAUAGAGGUGUUGCCUUGAGACUGCCGAUACAGUCUCCCAGUAAGCCUCCUUUUCAUCUUUGUUCACAUGUUAGCCUCCAUGUUGACGCAUAAACCAUAUGCUUCACUAAACACUGCCCCGAAAGUUGACCAAGUAUAUAGCAACCACAGUAACAGCAGCCCCCACCAGUUGCAGAGGUGAGAAUGUCUCACCGAGAUAGAGAAACCUGUGGUGUACCAAGGAAAAAAAAAAAUCAAUCAAAAACACUCUAGAAGCCAAAUUACGCAACACCAAAGAACUCAUACAUAUGUACAUAUAUAUAAACAAGAAUGGUAGAACUAUUAAAACAGCGACCUAUUCAUCAGUAACUAAUCAUAGAAGUUCUUCAACUAUUUUCUGGUUUUAGAACUCUUUCUUGAACAAUACUCCAGACAGUAAUACUGGAUUUUCAUUUACUCCAUAUGUUCUGGUUGGAUGACCUUACCCAAAAAUUGAAGCAAACAUUGGUGUUAGAAAGGUGAGAGAACUUAGUUUUGUCAAGCUACCUGAAACAUAUAAGUAAUUCAAAUCAAAACUUUGAAUCACUUUAGUAGGUUAUAGCAGAAUUAGCUCACAAGGAAAAAGGAUAUUGUAAUUGGCAUUGAGUAGCAUAAUUGAUUACUUACCUUUAGUAGCGCUGUAGAAGUAUACACCAUAGCUUAUGGCACUUCCAAAUAUGGAGGUAUAAAGUAGUGCCAAUAUAUCACUUGAUGUAAGCUCCUUAACACUCUCACUGUAGACAGGAUCAUGAUUGAGGACAGAGAUUACCACGAGAGGAAGACCACCGAUUACCAUGUGCUGCAUAAAUGUGAAUGUUAGUUCCACUUCCACGCCUCCACACAUACUCUCAGAGUUAAAAGGGCACAAGGACUUUGAAUGUUUGACAUCAUUAUAUAUUAUGUCUACAAUCAUGGAUAACAGCUGCUAUAAAGAAAUCACCAAUUGAACGUCUAUGAGAAAUCACUGUUUAGAACAGGAACAAUACCCAUCCAGUUGCCAUAACAGGAUCAGAGUACUUGGAAACCCAGCGGACCAUUACCGUACCGACUGCCAUGCUCUGAGCUGCAAGGAGCAUCCACCACUCCCCACUUCCCCAUAAUGAAGAAUUACUCUCAUCAAAUGCAGGUGCCUGCAAGAGAUUAAUUCCAUCAUAUACUUUAAAUGAAUACAAAUUUAACGGAACAUUUUUCUGAACAUAGGCAUAAAAUAAAUCUAUGACUUCUUUUCAGGGAAUACGUCAUUAGGAUCCUCUUUUCAAUAUGGAGGAAAGUUUCUUAUUACAAUGACGGCUGAUGGGUGACAAUUCACAAUUCAUUACAAAAUUUCUUAAAUAACUUAGCUGACCAACAGACCAGUCACCAGCACAUUGAACUCACACACACUCUCUUUAGGCAGCUUAAAGCUUUAAAAGUGUUGCCUUUACUUGAAAAUAAACCAAAGAACAAGCUUUGAAAUAUAAUAAGAAUUGAUAACAAAGCUCCAAGGACACCUGUUAUACAAAGCGCAUGCUGCACAAAAUGCAUAGUUUCAGCCAUCAAUUUAGUGCAAUUAUGCAUGUAUAUAUGGUGUUUUCAGUGAUCACAGUAAUAUGAACUGCCAAAAUUAAUAAUAAUAAUAAUAAUAAUAAAAUUGAAAGCAGCAACAUUGUAAAGAUUAAAACUAGAAUCGCAACUCUAGGAAUCUAGAGCCCACCUCAAGCAACAAAAGUCCUAUAACACCAAGAACAAGGCCACCAGCUCCAACUAACCCAAUGGACUCCCCAAACAACAAAGCCGCAAGCACAGCUACUGACAAUGGUUGUGAGUCAAUUAUCACCUAUGAAGGUAAUAGAAAACAAAAUUUUAGCUUGAACAAAAGAAAAGGUAAAUUUCCUGGACUUGAAGGUACCAAAUUCAAUAAAAUCUUGCAGUGCAAAUAAAAUUUUUCAAUAAUAUUAGAGAUACUUACACUACCCAAACCUGCAGAAGUUCUCUGCAAACCCUGAGCAAGAAAACCCUGUUCCAUCGCCAUUACCCACAUAAUUAACAAACUAUUACACAUAGAAACAUACAUAAACUGAAAACAAGAGAAUUGGUAAUGUAUAAGACUAAGACCUGAAAGCAUGAAGCAUCAACAAGAGCAAAGAGAAAGAUGGAAACCCAAGCAUUGAAUCCAGAGGGAAGCUUUCGACCUUGAGAGCUAGCAAAAGUUAUUAACAACAAACCAGCAGGAAUCAAACGAAAUGCAGCCACAAAGAAAGUGCCAGCCUUAGGCAAAACCUCCUUCAUUGCCACCAUUGCGGUUCCCCAAAAGAAGAAUGGCGACACCAACACUGCCCAUUCCAAAAGCAUCCCCAGCUCCAUCACUUGGCCAUCUUGUUCUACUUGCUCUUGUUCUAUUUCCUCUUUAUCAGUUGGGGAGAUCAGACACUCGACGUCUGUGCCUGUUUCCACACAAUCAACGGUGGAUGAAGAUUCCAUGUUUUUCUUGUUAGUUGUUGUACAAUUUGUGACAAUAAUGCAUCUUUUCUUGAAUGAAUUAAUAGUAAUAUAAGGAGAAAAAAGUGAAGGCGGUGCAUGCGCAACAUGGUUGCUGCUAAGCUUUUUGUUUGAAUAGGAUGAUAAAGAUGAUCGAAGCAAAAAAGAAGAGUUAAAGGUGGAAGAAGCAGAAGCAGAGGACCACCAAGCCAUCUUUACAGUCCUGGUGCGCUUAGCUUCGCGGAACAGUGAUGACGCAGAGCAAAGAGCUUGAGUUUUGAGUUGUGGUCAGUGAAGAUCGCACGUGGAGUAAAGCUGAUGCACGCGUAACUGCGUAAGCACCGUUACUAUUGUGGUAAUUUUACUUGUUUUACCCUUAUAUUUUUGUUAUAUACCGGAAAUGGCAAGUUUGCAACAUUUACGGAUUUACCUCAGUGUAGCAUUCUAGCCAUUAAUUUCAAACAACCCCUUUAUUUAUUUAUAAAUAUCUAUUGUGUCCGAAAUUAUGGGUACAAUUUUAUUUUUCAUCCUAGCAGAAAAUUAUUUUUACUCUCUUUUGAACUUACUUGGGACUUGCGAUAAUACCCCACGUAAGAGAUUAGGACGUUGGACAGUACUCUAUCACGUAAUAGAGUAGAAGAUAUUAAAUUUAGUAGGUUUUAUAAUAGGAUUCGUUAUAAAUUUUAUCUUUUAAUUUAAUGGUAAUUUUUAAAAGCCUCCCUUGAGGUUUGAGGCUGUUGCAAGUAGAUGGUGAAAAUUAUUUUAUUUGUAAAAGACCCCUUACUGUUAGUUAAAAUUUUCAUUGACUAACUGUUGACUUUAAAAAGACAAUAUUACCCCCAAUAAUAGUUUACGUCAGUUAAAAUUAUUUUAAAAUCUUAAAAAAAAUAAAAUUACAAACUUAAAAAAAAUAUAUUUUUAUAUCAAAUAAUUAAGAUUUGUAAUUUUAUUACAAACUUUAAAAAAUUAUAUUUUUAUAUCAAAUAAUUAAGAUUUGUAAUUUUAUUACAAACUUUAAAAAAUUAUAUUUUUAUAUCAAAUAAUUAAGAUUUGUAAUUUUAUUACAAACUUAAAAAAAAUUUACGUCAGUUAAAAUUUCCUUAAAAUCUUAAAAAAAAUAAAAUUACAAAUUUUUAAAAAAAUUAUAUUUUUAUAUCAAAUAAUUAAGAUUUGUAAUUUUAUUACAAACUUAAAAAAAAUUUACGUCAGUUAAAAUUUCCUUAAAAUCUUAAAAAAAAUAAAAUUACAAAUUUUUAAAAAAAUUAUAUUUUUAUAUCAAAUAAUUAAGAUUUGUAAUUUUAUUACAAACUUAAAAAAAAUUUACGUCAGUUAAAAUUUCCUUAAAAUCUUAAAAAAAAUAAAAUUACAAAUUUUUAAAAAAAUUAUAUUUUUAUAUCAAAUAAUUAAGAUUUGUAAUUUUAUUACAAACUUAAAAAAAAUUUACGUCAGUUAAAAUUUCCUUAAAAUCUUAAAAAAAAUAAAAUUACAAAUUUUUAAAAAAAUUAUAUUUUUAUAUCAAAUAAUUAAGAUUUGUAAUUUUAUUACAAACUUAAAAAAAAUUUACGUCAGUUAAAAUUUCCUUAAAAUCUUAAAAAAAAUAAAAUUACAAAUUUUUAAAAAAAUUAUAUUUUUAUAUCAAAUAAUUAAGAUUUGUAAUUUUAUUACAAACUUAAAAAAAAUUUACGUCAGUUAAAAUUUCCUUAAAAUCUUAAAAAAAAUAAAAUUACAAAUUUUUAAAAAAAUUAUAUUUUUAUAUCAAAUAAUUAAGAUUUGUAAUUUUAUUACAAACUUAAAAAAAAUUUACGUCAGUUAAAAUUUCCUUAAAAUCUUAAAAAAAAUAAAAUUACAAAUUUUUAAAAAAAUUAUAUUUUUAUAUCAAAUAAUUAAGAUUUGUAAUUUUAUUACAAACUUAAAAAAAAUUUACGUCAGUUAAAAUUUCCUUAAAAUCUUAAAAAAAAUAAAAUUACAAAUUUUUAAAAAAAUUAUAUUUUUAUAUCAAAUAAUUAAGAUUUGUAAUUUUAUUACAAACUUAAAAAAAAUUUACGUCAGUUAAAAUUUCCUUAAAAUCUUAAAAAAAAUAAAAUUACAAAUUUUUAAAAAAAUUAUAUUUUUAUAUCAAAUAAUUAAGAUUUGUAAUUUUAUUACAAACUUAAAAAAAAUUUACGUCAGUUAAAAUUUCCUUAAAAUCUUAAAAAAAAUAAAAUUACAAAUUUUUAAAAAAAUUAUAUUUUUAUAUCAAAUAAUUAAGAUUUGUAAUUUUAUUACAAACUUAAAAAAAAUUUACGUCAGUUAAAAUUUCCUUAAAAUCUUAAAAAAAAUAAAAUUACAAAUUUUUAAAAAAAUUAUAUUUUUAUAUCAAAUAAUUAAGAUUUGUAAUUUUAUUACAAACUUAAAAAAAAUUUACGUCAGUUAAAAUUUCCUUAAAAUCUUAAAAAAAAUAAAAUUACAAAUUUUUAAAAAAAUUAUAUUUUUAUAUCAAAUAAUUAAGAUUUGUAAUUUUAUUACAAACUUAAAAAAAAUUUACGUCAGUUAAAAUUUCCUUAAAAUCUUAAAAAAAAUAAAAUUACAAAUUUUUAAAAAAAUUAUAUUUUUAUAUCAAAUAAUUAAGAUUUGUAAUUUUAUUACAAACUUAAAAAAAAUUUACGUCAGUUAAAAUUUCCUUAAAAUCUUAAAAAAAAUAAAAUUACAAAUUUUUAAAAAAAUUAUAUUUUUAUAUCAAAUAAUUAAGAUUUGUAAUUUUAUUACAAACUUAAAAAAAAUUUACGUCAGUUAAAAUUUCCUUAAAAUCUUAAAAAAAAUAAAAUUACAAAUUUUUAAAAAAAUUAUAUUUUUAUAUCAAAUAAUUAAGAUUUGUAAUUUUAUUACAAACUUAAAAAAAAUUUACGUCAGUUAAAAUUUCCUUAAAAUCUUAAAAAAAAUAAAAUUACAAAUUUUUAAAAAAAUUAUAUUUUUAUAUCAAAUAAUUAAGAUUUGUAAUUUUAUUACAAACUUAAAAAAAAAUUUACGUCAGUUAAAAUUUCCUUAAAAUCUUAAAAAAAAUUAAAAUUACAAACUUAAAAAAAAUUAUAUUUUUAUAUCAAAUAAUUAAGAUUUGUAAUUUUAUUACAAACUUUAAAAAAUUACAUUUUUAUAUCAAAUAAUUAAGAUUUGUAAUUUUAUUACAAACUUUAAAAAAUUUACAUUUUUAUAUCAAAUAAUUAAGAUUUGUAAUUUUAUUACAAACUUUAAAAAAUUUACAUUUUUAUAUCAAAUAAUUAAGAUUUGUAAUUUUAUUACAAACUUUAAAAAAUUUACAUUUUUAUAUCAAAUAAUUAAGAUUUGUAAUUUUAUUACAAACUUUAAAAAAUUUACAUUUUUAUAUCAAAUAAUUAAGAUUUGUAAUUUUAUUACAAACUUUAAAAAAUUUACAUUUUUAUAUCAAAUAAUUAAGAUUUGUAAUUUUAUUACAAACUUUAAAAAAUUUACAUUUUUAUAUCAAAUAAUUAAGAUUUGUAAUUUUAUUACAAACUUUAAAAAAUUUAUAUUUUUAUAUCAAAUAAUUAAGAUUUGUAAUUUUAUUACAAACUUUAAAAAAAUUAUUUUAAGAUUUGUAAUUUUAUUUUUUUAAGAUUUUAAGGAAAUAUCAAUAACUUGAUCAUGGUGAAAAUAAUUAUUUUAAUUACUUAUGAAAUUAUAAAUAUUUAGAAUUGUAAAUAUUGGGGGUAAUAUUAUCUUUUCAAAGUCAAUAGUUAGUCAAUAAAAAUUUUAACUAACGGUAGGGGGCCUUUUACAAAUAAAAUAAUUUUCACCAUCUACUUGCAACAGCCUCAAAACUCAGGGAAGAUUUUUAAAAAUUACCCUUUAAUUUAAUAUUCUGUCACAUGACAGAGUAUCAUUGGACAAGUCCACCAUCUCAAUAUAUUAUCUCACACAAUUAUUUCUCCUUCGUUUCUUCCCUAUUUGUCUCACCAUGUUUGCAUCUUCAACCAUACAAAAUUCCAAACAUCAAACUGAAUUCCAAAACAAAAGUUCAAUCAUGUGUGGUCUACUGAAUGAACCGUUAUCACGGUAAUAAAAAAUCAAUAAAUUUAAUGAAAUACAUUUAAACACAUGAUUGAAUGAGAUAAUAUGCAUUAAAAAAAACACAUCAAUUAAUGAGAAGUUUGAUGUUUAAACCCUAUACAUAUUGAAUGAUAUAAUAUGUUUAAUUGCAUUAGAUGAAUUUUAUUAAUUGAACAACUUAAAAAUAUAUUAAAGUUAUUGAUCAAGCAUGUCCAAGAAGAUGAUGGAUAAUGAUAAAAUAAAAAAAUAUUAUUAAUAAUUUCCCAAUGGAUCAAUCAUUAUUUCUAUCGGGGCAUAACCCAAAUUACCACUGAAAAUUAUUCCCAUUUGCAGGAAGAAAUUGAGGUAGCGUUUACUUUUUGGAUUGGAUUGGGAAUCCUGAGGAGUGGGAAUCCUAGGAUUGGGAGUGUAGAGUGGGAGUGGGAGUAGGUUGUUUACUUACACUGGAAUGGAAGCAUGGAUUAGAGAUCAGAAUCCAAUUUAUGUGUUUACUUUGUCUUGGAUUGGGAGUAAAUAGUUUCAAAUUAUAAUUUUAUCCUUAUUUAAAGAAUUAUAGUUUUUAAUUACAAAACUAAUAAAAAAUAUAUAUUUAAUGAAUAAUAUUUAUUUUAUUAUAUUUGUAAAUUUAUUAUAAUUAUUAAUAUUCUUAAUUAUGAACAAUAAAUUAUUAAUUUUAAUACAAAAUGAAACCUUAUUUUAUUUUAUUUAAUAUAAUUAUAUUAAAUUUAUUAUUAUAUACUGCUGUACCGUACAUCCGGCAGAUUAUUCAAAUAAAUAUAAUAAUAUUAUUCAAAUAAAUAUAAUAAUAUUUAUUUUAUUUUAUUAAUUAUAAAAUAUUAAAUUAAAUAAAAUAAAAAAAAUAAAAGGGUAAAAAAGGGAGAGGUGGGAGUGGGAAUCCACUCCCACCUCCCCCAAUGGGAGUCCCACUCCCACUCCCCACUCCGAAAAUAAGUGGGGCCCACGGAGUGGGAUUCCCACUCCCUUCCUAUUUAGAGGAAGUAAACGCUGGAGUGGGAGGAAUCCACACUCCUCACUCCCACUCCAGUAAGUAAAUUGGGACUCGAAUUGACAAUUAAUGAGUUGCAGGACCCAAAGUCAUAAUGAAGGAUUGACAUAGAACCCCAGUGGCGACUCACAUAAAUGGCAACGGAGCUUUGCAAUGCCAACGAAAAUAAUAAAAUAAUGAAUUAUUUAGGGUUUAGUCUCCAACAAUUAUUUUGUUUUUCACGUAACGUAAAAUCCUAACGUUGCUUGCAUGACUUGCUUACUUUACCUUCAUCAGUCACUAUUGCUUGCGUCUAAAUUUAAUUGUGCAUUGGGAAGAUUUGCUUGAGAUUAAUUACUAUUCAAAACCAAGGUCCGUUUUUCAAGUCUCUCAGAUCUGUUAACGCGUUUGAUAAAUUAGUUGGCUUACUUUUCAGUAUUAACCAGCACCACGAAGUCAAAAUUGCUUUAAAAAUAAAAUCAUCAUAAAUUGUUUUGGCAUCUCUUUUCCGAAAGAAAAAUAUGACACACACCAACUUGAUAUUCAAAUGAUUUAAUUUCUUGGGAAUUUGGAUGCAACGAAUAAGGAAGUUAUCUACCUCUCUCUGUCAACUAAAACGGAUUCAGUCCCUUCACGCUAUAUAUUUAUUUCUAAAUAUAGAAUUUUAUUUCGCAUUUUUUUACACUCGACAUUAAUAAUUUUAUAUUUCAUAUAUGAUUCAUAUUAUUCUAUCUUAUUUUGUUUUUAUACGUUAUCUACUCGUUGUGAUUAUUCUUAUUGAAUUUGUAAAACAAAAAAUUAAAUAGAUAAAUUAUGAAACAGUGAUGACAGGCAUGAGAUCAGUAAUCGUCACUUACCCUUGAGCUUAGUCAAAAACAGUAGGUACGUAGCUUCAUAAAUUGACAAUUUACUUUGCAAUUGCAUGACUCAGUCAUUUUGCUUUGAUUAUUUCUCCCCAAAAAAAAAAGAAAAAAAAGAAGCUUCCAAGAACUUAACAUUGAGUUACAAAUUUGGUUAACCAAAAGUUUGCCUCUUUUAAUUAUUUGUAAUAUUACUUAACCUCAGAAGAAUAUGCCACGUGGUUUCUCAAAAAUUUUGAUAUACGAAAUAUAUCAUAUCAUCCAAAUAGAAUUAAAAAAAAAAACCUUUGGUUAAUAUGUGUGUCUUAAUGAGAGCUAUUAAAUUAACUUAAUUUCUUCCUAAUAAGGAGAAUGAAUCGACCAUAAAUUUAGAAAAGCUUGCUUGUAAUCACUAAACAAGAAAAAGGUGAGUUAUUGUUAAAUGUUAAUCACUUCUCUUGAACAAAAGGGAAUCAUUCAAAUCGACCAUUAUUUGCAGUUUGUAAUAUUACACUUCAUGAAUAACCAAAAAAGUACGAAAUCAGAAGUCACCUUCAAUCCAAAUUUUUGUUUCUUGUUUCUUGGCUUUUGUUUGCAUGUGAACUGGGGUUCUGCAGUUUCUUCUGAAUUGACCUCAUCAUGUAUAUAUAGGGUAAUUUUUAAAAACCUCCCCUGAGGUUUGGACUUGUUGCAAGUAGAUGACGAGAAUUGAUUUAUUUGUAAAAAACCCCCUACCGUCAGUUAAUUUUAACAUUGACCGUUAGUUGACUGUGCAAAGACAAUAUUACCCUUAACAAUAAUUUGUAGAUGGAAAUAACUAAAAAAAAAAUUAAAAUUAUUGGUUAUUUUACCCUCUUUAAAUUAUUGAUAUUUUCUUAAAGUUCCUACAAGAAAGAUAAAAUUUAAAAUUUAAAAAAUUCUCUUUAAAUUAUUAAUAUUUUCUUAAAGUUUCUACAAAAAAGAUAAAAUUAAAAACUUGAAAAUAAAAUAGUUAUAAUCUUUACCUAUGAUAUUGUAAAUUUUUGGAAUUGACAAGGAUAAAAUUGUCAAAAAAUAGGGUUUGUGCUUUUUGCGCCAACAAUUUUAAUUUUUUUUUUUAGUUAUUUCCGUCUACAAAUUAUUGUUGAGGGUAAUAUUGUCUUUGCACAGUCAACUAACGGUCAAUGUUAAAGUUAACUGAUGGUAGGGGGUUUUUUACAAAUAAACAGAUUCUCGCCAUCUACUUGCAACAAGUCCAAACCUCAGGGGAGAUUUUUAAAAAUUAUCCUGUAUAUAUAUAUAUAUAUCAGCGGAGUAGGUGAAAAGUCUAAUUAGGUUUGAAAUCAAAUGGAACAUAAACUGUCCAUAUGAAUAUUAUCUAUUUUAAAUCAAAUUAUUCGGAUGUAUAUUCGCGACACAUGUUAAUAUAUAAUUGAUCUAUGAAGCGUACAAACUAUGUGAUGCUAAUUAUUUAUAGUAUGAAAGCGGGAAGCUAGAAAGCCAGACGCGUCAUUGAAUUUAUGUAACGCACCAAAACAUGUGCUUUUAUAAAAUAAAAUAAAACAAAAACCAUAGAAAAAUUGACACUUCAGCCUUUAAGGACAAGUCAAACAAAGGAAGCUUCAAAUAAUUUUCUAAUUAUUUAAUACAACUAGCCAAGAAAUUUUUCUCUUAUAUUGAUUACUUCAACACACAAGAGGAAUGAAUAUAUGCACACAUUCAUUCAAAGUCUCAAAACUUUGCAUCAAAAUUUGCAUUCAGUUCAAUGGCUGACCAACCGAAAAUCCACCCGGUGCAAGAAGAUAUAGAGGCACAACAAAAGCCAACAGCCCCACUAGUGCCACGUGACACGUCAAAAUCCGAUCAUGGAGACCCGGCGGCCGCCGAGCGUUACCCGCCUUUUCAACGUACGAUUCCGGUGAUGCACUCAAAGCCGCCGAAGAGGAAGAGAAGCUGCUUGUGCAAGUGCAUGUGUUGGACCAUUUCUCUGUUACUAAUCUUGAUCAUUAUCAUUGCCGCUACCGUUGGAAUCCUGUGGCUUGCAUUCAAACCAAAGCUGCCAAAAUUUUCAGUUGACAGAAUGCAAGUAAGUCAGUUAAAUCUCAGCGACAACUCCAGCUUAGAAGCUACCUUCAACGUUACGAUUACAGCCCGAAACCCUAAUGAGAAAAUAGGGAUAUACUACGAAGGAGGGAGCCGCAUAAAUGUUUAUUAUACGGACACGAAGUUAUGUGAAGGGUCAUUGCCAAAAUUUUACCAAGGUCAUAAGAACACGACGGUGCUGAAUAUUCCGUUAACGGGGCAAACGGAGAACGCUACGGCGUUGGCAAAUACGCUGCAGGAGCGACAGCAGCGGACGGGGAACGUGCCCCUGAAUCUUAGGGUUAAGCAGCCUGUUAGGAUCAAGCUCGGGAAGUUGAAGCUGAUGAAGGUGAAUUUUAGAGUCAGGUGCAGGCUUGUGGUCAACAGCUUAAACCCUGAUAAUAAUUCUAUUAGGAUUCAAGAUAGUAGCUGCAAGUUUAGAUUUAGGCUCUAAAUUGAUUCUUUACCACACUAUACUAGUACCAUACAUCUUCACCACUCCAUGUUAUACUUUUGAUUUUUGAUUUUCCAUUUUCAUUUACCUUAAUUUGUUAUUUUUUCAUUUUGAGUUUUGUUUUUUCUUACAUGAGGUUUUCUCCUCCAUAUAUAUACGGAUCCAUAUAUACACACUAUGAUGUACAUUUAUUCGUAUUAAUUUAUCAGAUUUUUAUUCAGGGUAUGACAAAUCUUCAAUAUGCUAUUUGAGAGCUUCAACCUUUUUCUUGUUUCCUUCACAGAUUUUGUUUGUAAAAUUGUACAUGGUAGUAAAAACUCUUUGAAUUGCAAUAAAAACCGGUAACGUUUCCGCUAAGGGAUUCAUCUGGGAUUGAAUAUCAAAGACACAAAAACUACUUGGUCGGUCUGUGUCGGCGAUGACUGUUAAAAGUACAAGUUACCCUCGUACUUUCUUACAUUUCUUACAUUUUAAGCUUUGACUUUUGGCUGUUAAGCUAUUUAAGGGGUUGGAGUCUUGGAGACGUUAACUUGAGCAUUCAAGUCUCGAAGAAAAAGGUGUGCCCAAGCGGAAAUUAAAUGAUUUCGACAUCUAAUGAUCAAGAGUAGGGCCGCAGGAGCUUAAUUGAAUCAUUUCAUGGACGCAUUUGUUGAAAAUAUGGGAUCAGCCGCUUUAUUACUUGCAGAAAGUUACACUAAUACGAAAGACUUUUUAAGAAGCCGCUAAAAACUAGGUGAUUGUAAUCAAUUAGGCCUUUUGAAAAUGGACACUAUUUACCAAAAACAACAGACGAUCAUGUAGAAAAUUAUCAGUACAAAACUGUUUACAGAGUAUGAUGGCACGACAGUAUAAGCUUGGAAGAAAAAGAUAGCAGAACUGCCUUUCCACAAAUCACCGACGGUAGCGGUAGCGUUUGAAGUUGAAGUAUACAUGCAAUAUUCCACGUUCAAACGUGCACUUGAAUCCUUUCUUAUGAGAAUACUCCCAUUCCUUGUUAACAAUUUUGAAUGCCUGUAAUUUCAGGAAGACAAGCUUGUAAGUCGAGGGUAAUUUAAUCAUUGUACACAAAAAUAAGACUACCAGAUAGUUUGAGACAAUAACUUACAAUGUCCUCAUAUGGAGGCCCGGCAUGGAACCUAAUAAUGCAUGUCUCGCCAUUGCUUCCAUCUUUCUCAAUUGUGUAUGUCGGAGCCUUCGUCUUGUCAACAAGGUCAGGGUAAAAGAUAUUGAACUUAUAUCCUUGCACAAUUUUUGGCGGCGGGUUGUCAUGGUCAUAGUGAGUCUGAUUAUAUUUGUUCCACUCGUAUCCAGUGUGCACACGGUUGAAAUAUUUCGGUUUUCUAGGCCGGUAUUUAUCAUGCCACCAAUACACCUGCAUUUGGGAUUUUUGUAAGCAAAUCGCACUAUCUUAUAACAACUUAGUAGAGGAAGAUGAGCAGAAUGGAUGAUAAGCCCAACCUGUGAGUCCAGGUUAACUUCUGCACCAGACCCAAAUACUGCAUCCCCUUCUUCCAUGGCUCCCAUAGCUUUCAUGGCUUUCAGUUCAAAGUUAUCAUCUGACGGAGUUGGCUUUGAUGCCAUAGCUUCUUGAAUUCGUCUUUGCUGGUCUUCCAAAACUGCAAUUCGUUUACGCUCCUGUUGAUAUACAAGUAGUGACAUGGUUAAACAUUCAAGCUGCUUUUUAACUCAUAAGCUUCCCAAAUAGACAAUAGGCAUUGUAUCAGACAAGUUACCAGUAAAGCCCUAUCCUCAUCAGGGUCAAUAGCUUCUUCAUCAUCAUCACCAUGUAAUAAUUCUGGUGAAAAUGAUCCAGCCUCUUUCUCUGCCUCUUGAGUGUCCUCCAAUACAGGUUCUGGAGAGAAAUUUCCAGCAUCUACACGUCAAAGAAAUAUUAGCCAAUGACUUUAGAUGCAAUAACCUUAAAAAGAAUCCAGAAUUUUACCAUAGCUAAUAAAGAUAUGCAUACCAUUGUCAUCAUGCUCAAUAACCUCUGCUUCAGGCAUUGAAUCAAGAUCGGUUUCGAAUUUUGCAACCUCCGAAGGUUGCUCGAGGCGUUGCAGAUGCUUACGCAGCAUUUUAGCAUGUAUUUCCUUCAAACAAGCCUAUAAUUGCAGCUAGUUAGUAGUGAGGUCCAGAACAAGUUGCACAUUACAUAGAAAAAUCAUUUACAAAGGUUGAGAAUGAGUACCUUUGCCUUAUAUAUAUGAAGCCGUUUAAGAAUGGCUUCCCAGUACUCAACCACCUUGGCUGUGCCGGCACGCAUCUGCAACUCUAUCUUGGUUUGUAAUGCCUCAAGUUCCUUGUGAGUCUUUCCGUCCAAAAGAUUCCUGACAUCUGCUUCAAUGCUAGAAUGCAACCCCCUCUCUUCUGCAAGCAACUCCGCAGGAGGUUGUUCCCCACGGACUCGAGCUCGAUCUAGUGCAUCCUUCUUCCGCGCUUCAGCUAAUUCCCAAUCACAAACCACCAUAAGCGCCUGUUGAAUUAAUUACACAUGUCAAAGCACCAUCCAUGUGACAUUCAUAUCUUAUUUUCACAACUACCCGCAAUUAUUUUCAAUCAACAUCAGGUGCCAAAUACAAUAAUCAUGGCCAUAAUCUUCUGAUAGGAAUCUUCUGAUAGGUUAGCGAUCAUGAGAAAUGGUCUUAAAGAAGAGUAUGACCAAAAGGAAAAACGUCAGAUUUUGGAGACAUUCUAAAUUUUCAAAUUGACAAAAACCUUAUCCUAGAUGAUUAUGGGUCAACAACAUAAAACCUAUCCUAUUAUGUUCUCAUCCCAGGAGUGACCAUUAUGUACAGAAUAUCAAAGUCUAGAAUGGUAGCAAGAUAGAAAGUCUGUAAACAAAGAUAUUUCUAGCUGUCUGUCAGCAAGGAACAUCUCUACUCAACAAGAGCAAAAGAGUGAGAAAGGAUAAUACCUCCCAAUACUCUACAUGAGUUGGUGUUGCCCUGUCCAAAUCUAAAUACAUUUUGAUAUCAUCACGAAGCUCUUCCAUCUCUUUUACUGUCAAGCCCUAUAUUAAACAAUACAAAUCAAACACCAACAUGAAUAGUCAGAAAACAUAGCUAAUGCAUGUUUGUUAAAAAAAUUAUUAAAUCAAAAUUGAGGUUACAACAAAUAAUCACCUUGAAAACCAUGUAUGGUUCAUUUAUUUCUAUGUCUAAAUCAUCCGAGCCACUAAGGUGCUUGCACAAAACAUCAAUUGGCUUCAGACGACCUUCACGCAGUCUAAUCUCUGACCUGACUUUGCUUUGAUCAAAAUGAAACUGUAGAAUGAAAAUAUUAGUAUUGGAUCAAAUAAAAAAUAAUUUUGAAAAUGAACAGUAAUUGAAACUCGGCAACAAACCUCCUCCUCUUUCUUUUCCCAGUCCUGGAACUCAGCACGAGCACGUUCUCUAGCCAACAGUGCCUGCAGAAGGAUGUAAUUAACCAAGCCAAAAUACAUCCAAAUAGGAAUAUAGAUAACUCCAACGUAAUAAGCCAUGAGAUAUUUCUCUUGAAAACACACUCUACAAGAAAAGCUUUACCCUAACAAAGGACUAAACUCACCAUUUCCUCCUCAUGUCGUGCUUUUUCAAGGGCUCUUUCUUCUCUCCUUUUUUUAACCUUUUCAAUUUCUGCCUGCAUCAAGAAUGGAUGAUGAAUAAAUUGAAACACUAAACUAAAAAAACUAGUGAUACCGAUUACUAAAUUAUGAAAUCACUAGAAUUUGGAAUGGUUUAGGACAACAAAGAAUUUAACAACUUGAAAACAAAAGAAAACACACAAAAUUCAUCGAUUACCGCAAGCUGAGAAGUUAAAAAUUAAUUGAGAUAUACAUACCAUCCUUUCUCUCUGUCUCUUUUUCUCUGCUUUAACAGAAAACUCUUCAAGGGGCACACCUUGAGAAACAUCUCGCUCUAUCUUUUUUCGCCAUACAAAUCUGCAACACACAGAUUAUGACUUGUUUAUAUUCAAUAAAAAAUAGAAGAAAAAAAUUCUGCCCUCAAUUUGUGAUUAUUUCAAAUCCAUUAGGCAUUAGCCAUCAGUACAGUAGUUUUACCAUUAAGAAUGCAUUGAAGACAAACAUGAUCAAUUUCAUAAAUUGGAAACAUGUAGUCUGGACUAGUUAUGAUCAUCAGCGCAACCUUCAAAUGCAUUAAAAGGAGAAAAGAAAAACAAAAGGCCAUUCAAGACAAAAUAUAAAGAAAACAUACCUCUCAUUGAGAUUGGAGUCACCAAAUGGAUUUGAAUCAUUAGAAUAACCAGAAACCUUUUGCGCCCUCAAUUUCUUUGCAACUUUUGCCGCCUGCACAAUUGAAAAUUACAAGAGCAGUAAAUAAAUUGAGUGAAACAAUAUAGUAAAAUAAAAUCCAACAAAAAUAAUCAAAAUACUAAACCUUUCUUUGUGCUUUCUUAGCUAAAUACUCAGCGAUUUCCUCUUCAGUAAUGUUCCUUGAAGACUUCCGCUUUCUGCGGUCAUGAUCGCUCUCAUUGCUAUCAUCAUCAGAACUAUCUGAGUCCCUACUGCGUCUGUUGCUUGUGCUUCUUCUUCUGUCAUCCUCAGAACUAUCUGAUUCCCUGUCAUGUCUAUUCCUUUUACUCUUACUUCGUUCUCGGCGUUUGCGGGAGCUCCUUUCCGGUGACUCAUCCGAACUGUUGUAUGAGGCAGACUUGGACUCCAGUUCAGAUGAUGAGUCAUCGUAUCUCCUUCUUUCACUUCGACUUCUUUUGGAAGAAGAAUUCUCUCUCUUGCUCUUACUAGUCUUUAAAUGACUACCCAUUUGACAGAAAACUGUUCAAGUUACAACCAGUGAGUGAUAAUUCAGAAAGUUCUACAGAACCUAAGCAUGCAGAGAAGCCAUAAAAGAGAGGCUCAAUUCCUUGAAUUUUUUUAACAUUGACCACUUAAACUUCUAGGAGAAAAAAAUACCUUUAAAAAGUUAUGUAUUCCUCUCGUAACAAAACCUUUUUGGGUGUUCGGGUAUUCCUUUUUUCCCCUCUUUUGACAAAGACCUGCAAUUUUGAAACUGUUGAUGUUACCCAACGAUCUUGCUUAAUUAGUUGCUGGAAUUAUCUUCAAAUUUAAAAAUCAAUUAUUUCCAAUAAAAUAAGAAAGAAAUCUUUGAAAGGCACCAAUUACAGUGAAGUACAAUGGUGUUGAAAAUCUCUAAUUCUCAAUGAAUUAUAAAUUCAAAACUUUAUUAUAAGUUUUACAACAUAAACAGAACUUGUGAAAGCCACCAACUUGAACUUGGAAAUUGGAAAACUUCAAAAUUUGUCUACGGACAGUGAAGACGAAAAAGCGUUAUAUUAUGCUAUCAAACAAAUAAAAAAUAAAGAAAAUGAAGACAACAACUCACUGUCUCCGACUCUCCGGCGCGAUGGAAUCGGGCGAACCAGGCUGCGACGGCAACAGCUGGCGCUUGGCGACGAGGUGGCUGAAUCACGAUCUACCGUCUGCCCUCUGCCGCCCGCUAAUUGAAUCACGAUCACCGGUGGUUGGAUGGUGCGCGAGUGACAGCAGUGAGACUGAGAGAGAGACGCUGAGACCGGAGGGUGAGACGCGAGAGACGGAGGGAGUUAUAGAGAGGGGUUGCCUGCUGUGUUUAGGGAAAUUAGGGAUUAGAAUUUUAAAUGUUAGGGAAAUCAUUUCCUUUGUUAUCUAUUUUUUUUUUUUAAGACAACUAUUGCUCAUUAUAUUUAUACCACAUAAAUAUCAUAUAAAUUAUUAAGAUUUAUUUAUAUCAAUUUUAUAUGAUACCAUUUAAAUUUUUAACUCUUUUAAAUAUUAUUCAUUAUAUUUAUAUUAUAUAAAUUAUUAAAAUUUAUUUACAUUAAUUUUAAUAUGACACCGUUUAAAUUUUUAACUCUUUAAAUUUUUAACUCUUUCAAAUAUUCGAGUAUCGUUUAACUUUCAUUUUAAGAAAAAGACUAACUUCAUUGAGCUCUAAAAUCCAAAAAAAAAACGGGGCUCGCACCACUUCUAGCCACUUGGGCGCCCAAGUGGUUCAUUUACGUUAUCCAUUUAGAUUUAGGUUUUGGCCUUUUUUCUUAAUUAAACUUACGAUAGGUUUGUGCACCGAAUACAAUCCAUUCGGUUUGUGAAAAUAUAGUAAUUCGAUUUUACCUAUUAAACCGAAUCAAAUAAUUUUUAUUUUUGAUAAAAACUGAAUAUCCAAACCAUUUGGUCUAUGAAAAUAUAAAUAGUUUUAUUUUAUCUAUUAAGCCGAUCAAAUAAUUUUUUGAAUUUCUCCUUAAUUCAAUAAUAUUUUAAUUGUGUAUCAUUCGAUUUAAUCAAUAAUAUAUAAUAUUUGUAUUAAAAAUAAUAAUUUAAAAUUUUAUAAAUUAACUUUGACCACCCUUAAAGUUUGAAGUAAUUUCAUUUAAAUAAUAUAUUUUAUUUAAAAUUACUUCUCAACCCUCCUUUAAAUUCCUUUAAAUUUGUAAUGUGAUAAUCGUUUUUAAAUAAAUCUUCCAAAAUCUAUUAUCAUUAAAUAUAAAAUAUAAUAUUAAGUAGGUUAUUUAACACAAAUUAAAUAAAUAAGUUGCAAUGGUAAAUUUAAUUAUAUAUGAGAUAACACUAAUAAAUAAUACAACUAAGUAUAUAUACUUAAGUAAAUGUCAUAGGUACAUCAAUAAACUCAUUGGUAAGAUUGCUUGUAACCUAAAAAAAUACUUGAUCACACAUAUUUUAAUAACAAUUAAUAUCUUAUGUUAAAACACUCAUUAUUUUAUAUAAUAUUAAGGAUAUUUGUAUAAUUGAUCAUGAAUUAUUUAUUAUUUUUAACACCCAUUUAACAUACUUAUUCUUUAAAUUUUUGUUUAGGAUUUCUCUAUAAUAUUGUAUAAGUUUUUACAGCAUUGAUAAUGGCAUUGUUGUGGACUCUUGGAAGUUAGUGUUUUCAUGUUUACCAUUCAUUUGAUAUAGUAAAUAAAAAAUUAGCUAUUUAAAUCAUAACAAGUAAUAUUCAUGUUGCAAGUAAAUAUAGUUUUUUUAAUUAAUUGAUAAAAGAAAAUUUAUAUUAUAAUGGAUAAAAAUCCCACAAUCAAUGAUGGGAUCAUUGGAUUUAAUAUUAGAAUCUUCACCCUUAAUUUAAUUUUAAUGGAUAAGUAAUUAUGUAACAAGUAAUUUGCAAGUUGUGAUAUUUCUUCACAUUUUAAAUUAUUUUUUAUUUAAUCAAUUGAUAAAUAUUUUAAAUCACCAAAAAAAAGAAAUACAAAUAAUUUUGGAAUUAAAAUUAUUAUGUAUUAAUUCUCUUACUUUACAAUUUUACAUUUUUUUACUUUUACAUUUAGUAUUAGAAAAUAUUUAAUAGCAUUAAAAUAAAUGUAAUUAACAACUAAAGUUAUUUCUAUAAUGCUUUAUAUAAAGAUAUGACAUAAAGACUUAUAAUAAUUUUUAUUGUAUGAAUUUAAUUACAAACCAUUAAUACCUAAACAAUAAUGAUAAUAAAAGGCAUUGCAAUAAAAUAUUUUAUAUAUGUUUUAUUAAUAAUACUAUGUGAGUCACAACAAAUGAGAAAUAUUUUAUUCACCAAUUAUUAUUGAAAAAUAUAUAUGGCUAUAUAACUAUAUAGUGAGAAGUAUUUUGAUUUAAAUUUUUAACAAAAAAUUAAACUAUUAAUUUCAUGCAAUUCAUUGGUGGAGGAUAUAACAUUAUGAAGUGUUACAUUGACUUUUAAUAUUAACUAUUAGACUAUGAGAUAUUAACGGCUCAAAUAUUGUGUCAAAAUUUUAAGUUAAAGUAUCCCAAACCAUAUCUUUAUAAUGGAAAUAUAAAAACAUACAAUGAAUUUUUUUCUCAUUUUGUCCAUUAAAUAUUAUUGGAUGUAAUAUUUUAUUUAUUGUCACUAUUACUUAUCAUAAUAAAAGUAAUGACUCUUAAUAAUAUAAAAAUUUUAUAAUUCCAAUCAAAGGAUAACAAUAAACUAGUCUUUCAUGAUUCAUAAACUAAAGUUAAUUAAAAAUAUGUGUUAGAUUAAACUUUUAUAAAAUUAACAAAGUGAUGUUUAAAAAGGAAUACAAAUUCUUUAAUUUGAUGGAAAUUUGAAUUUAGUGGAAAUUUAAUUCCAUUGAAUUUGGUCCAACUAAACAGUGAAAAAUGAAAAAGAAAUCAAAAUUUUUUCCUCUCCCCACUCCUCUAUCCCCAAACAAACAUGGCCUAAGGGUGGUCACAGUUAUUUUACAAAAAAUAUCCACCGCUUGAACUGUUAACAAACUGUUUACCCUUAUUUUAAUUUUUUUUUUCUUUAGCAUAAAUAUUAUAUACCAUUGAUUAAAUCCAACAGUACACAAUUAAAACAUUAUUAGAGGAACCCUGUUUUGAUUUUAUAAAAACCUAACUAAAUGCUCAGCCCUGGUCAAGCUCUUAAUCUUUUCUUUUUUUUUUUCCGAGGAGGGUUAAGCUUUUAAUCUUAAAUUCCUAUGAAUAGUCAACUAAAAAAUUACGAUAAAACUCAAAGAACGAAACCAAACCGACCAGUCAGAGUCGGUUCAUUUGGAUGGACCAUUAUUGGUUCAAUUUUUCUUUUUAAUAAAUUUAAAGUACUUGUAAAGCAGCAUUAUAACAUUGAUAGCAUGCACUUUGCCCUGAAUGUUGUUAUGCUGUUGAGUGGUAGGAUUAUAGAGAAUGUACAUAGAUUUUUAAUAGGCGGACAAGGCAUGGCUGACACAGAAUUAUCUGCUUCCGAAGAUUGAUCAUUAGCGAGGACAGGAUUUCUGAGAUAAAGAAAUAGCAAAGCACUAUUAUCUAAUAGUUUAUGCCAUUGAAACUUGAAAAUGAAGCAGAGAUUAUGUUGUGAUACAUUUUAAAAUAUAUGCUCAUUUCAUAUUUGAUAUUACAGUAUCCGUGUUUCUUCUUCCCCCCCUGCUGUACGGCCAAGGCGGAUGUACGGUACAGCAGCAGUUAUGGAUUUACCGACCUGUAGAGGAAACCUUACCUAAAAACUUUCUUCAUCACUUCAACUUCAUUUGGCUCAGGCCAUAUUUCAUGAAAGUGCACGGUUGUAUAUUGAUCUAUAUUUAUGUGCGGUACCCACUUCUAAGUAUGAAAGAAAAGGAAUGCUCCUCUCCUCUGAGCUAGUAGAUUCACGUGUAGAUGAAACCAUUCUAUAAUGCUAUGGAAACAUCGGAGUGAGUUAGGGGUCCUACCUCUCUGUAGGGCUCUCGAAUCGCGGAGGAAUUGUUGAAUCUUUUCAUCUGCUGUACGGCCAAGGCGGAUGUACGGUACAGCAGAGGAUCUUUUUCCUCAAAUUAAGUCUGACACAAAAUGCACACACUCAGUUAGCAAUAAGAAGCGGUUCACCUUGGUUAUUUACGAGAAAGGAGUCCAUAAAUGGUACCAGCUACUCCACGCCGUUUACCCUACAUAAUUUAACAAAAGGAAAGCAACUUCUUAAAAUUGCACUCUUCCCAUAUAUGAAAAAUAGGUGACAAUGCUCACCUUUGCACUGUUAAACAUGUCCUCAGCAAGAGCUUCCAUUUGCUUUCUCUUUUUCUCUUCUUUCAUAGACACGGCCAUUUCCUCAGUCCCAUUGUCAGAAUCUCUAUCAUUAUAAAACAAACUCAAAUAAACAUAUUAUAUGAAGUUCUGACUACAGUUCAAGAAUCAGAUUGAGUAGAGGAACAUGGAUCUUACUUAUAUGGGUACUUUGAAAAUGGAAUAAGGCUGCUGAAGCUAUUCCCUGAUUGAAUAUUUGUCUACAAAACCAUUAAAAAUUUUUGAAAAAGAGGGGGGGAAAAAGAAAAAAGAAAGAAAGAAAAAGGCAUCAGGCAUCUUGUAAUAGAAAGAACUCAGAAACAAGAUAUCUAGAUGCAUGCAAAAUGAUAAAUAAAAAAAAAUGCUCAACAUACAAUGACUCCUAGAUUGGCCAGUCAUGAACUUUGCAGAGGAUUUCAAGCAAAAGGGGUAGAUUGGAGAAUAAUAAUACAAGGAAACGGAAACCGACACGUAUGAAUUUCUGAGAAACGCCACAUUUUUUGGUCUAAUUUAGAGCAGAAUGCAUGGUUUGGCAUGGAAUGGAAAAUUUCAAGACAAUACCUUUCUGAAGCGUUUGAAAUUUAAGACUCCAUUGUUUGCUGUAGAGCUGAUGGUGGAAGCUACAUUCAGAUCUCUAACAACUAAAUUUUGGCUGUAAAUGAUAUCUGAAUUUUCACGUUCCAGAUCAGCCUUCUCUCUGCUUGUAGUCAUACAAUUGUUUCCAUCUCUGAAGCCUGUACCACGACGAUCCUCCGAUCUGUUUGCAAUACUGUUGCUUCCAUCUCUAAAGCCUGCACAAUGACUAUCCUCUAAUCUAUUUGCAGUACAACUGUAUCCAUCUCCAAAGUCUGCACCAUGACUAGCCUCUGAUCUGUCUGCUCCAUGGAUAUCGGCUGAUCUAUAUGCAAUACUACUGUUUCCAUCUCUAAGGCCUGUUUCAUGCUGAUUAUCGGAUCUAUUCACAGCAUGAUUGAUGGAUAUUUCCUCUUUGCUUAGAUAUGUGGGGGCUUCCUCAUUAUCGACAGCAGCUGUUGCAUGACCUGGUGAUGUUUCUUCUUCUGUUUCAGCAUCAGAAUCAGCUACCACGGUCUCAUCCGUUGAGCAUGAAGAUGAAAUGAGUACUGCAAAAGUGCAGACAUAAAAGGUUAUUACCUUGUUAUGACAAAAUAAAGAAAAGCUUGAUCGCAAUUUAUAAAAAGCAGUUAAAGAUUUCUGUCAAAGAACCACUGAGCCUUAGUCCAGUGGCUAGAGCCACUCCCUCACAAGUGUGAGGGAAGUGGUUCGAACCCCACAGAAACAUUGUGGGGGUUUAAUUUAAAUUUCCUUCCUCAUCUCUUGAGUGAAGGUUGAAGUCCCCUCGAAUAUCAGAGAGGAUUAAAAUCUGGGCUGUGCUAUAUAAGAGUUUAUGUAAACUAAUCCCAGUUAUUAUGUGAUUGUAAAUACUAGUUGUAGUAUCAUGUAAUAUGUUGUAUCAUGAACAAUAGUCUCGUAUAAUUAAAAAAAAAAAAAAUUGCUGUCAAAGAUCACGAAAGAGAGUUAAAUAAGUGCACAAAAUAAAGUUAUAUUGAUUUACGCAACCAAAAUAAAUAUGGGUUCAAAUAAAGAGAUAUCGUUGUCAAUACCAUGUAACGUUAAAUCUUCUGAAUGUUAAGAAACUUAUAAAUCAAGUAAUCACAAGAUGUGCCUGUAGUAUUACUUCGGUUAACCAAGACGCAAGGUUCAAAUACCUAGAAGAUACUGAGAAUGCAUUACUGCAUUUCUAGUUGCCAAUAGCAUAUGUUAGUUAAUCAAGAAGCAAGACUUAUAUAUCUUGAAUAAAAUAAUCAUUUACCUGGUGGUGAUGGUGAUAUCAAUACAGACGGAUCCAGAUGUCCAGAUAAAACAGCACAUAUCAAAUCUUUUUCAUUCACUCUAGAUAGUGAACUGAGUUUGAGGAUUGACUUAGAACAAUCUUCUGACUUUCUUGGUAGGACAUACACCACACUGUUAUGUUCUACACACUCCGAGUCCUACAUCAAAUUAUUUUCUAAAAGAUAUUAGAUGAUAAAUAUCUCAGAAAAUGUGCGUCUUCUGUGUGAACAAGUCAAGGAAGAUUGAAACAGAAUCCAUGACACUGAUUAUCACAUCUCUUUCCAUGUUGCUGACAGUUAUUGAACAUAUAUAUAUAUAUAUAUAUAAACCUCAAUAUUCUUGUGUUCAAAUCCCACCACAAGAAGAAUCAAAAUAUUGCAAAUGUUUGUUGCAGUGAUUAUGAUUAUAUUUGUUUGUCAUCCACAUUCUUUACAUGCAAGCAUGGUAUGUUUAUAUAUGUGAAGAGCAAGAAUCACCUACCUGGCUACUUGGACAAAAACUCUGAAUGGAGAGAGACUUUGCACCACUCACCUCCAACAGCGACUGCAAUUUAUCCCCAUAUUUAUACUGCAAGCAAACCACGGAUAAGUAGUUUUGCAAAUAAUACAAGACACAUUAAAAUCUUUCUAAAGAUAUGAUAGAUCAAUGUAGAUUACACUUAAAAAGAAAAUAGAAUUUUCGUUAAAUCUCCCUAAAAGAUCAACAAGUUAUGUUAUUAUGGCGCAACCAAAAGUUAAUCAUUGACAAUAUAUGUUAAACAUGUGAGGUGUGCACUACAUUUGAAUUUUGAUUUUUAGUGGUUAACCAAAAAAAAGUACAGAUAUAUCAAAAUUAAAAGAGUUUGAGAUAAAGUUCAAAAUCUUCUAAACAACUGUAGGAGUAAAAAUAUCACCUUGAUUGAUGAAUCCAAUAGAAAGGUAUACCCCCUCAUGCAAUUCUCGCGAGUAUCCACAUUCGCAAGUUCAACCAGAUCUCCUUCCAUUAUCAAUGUAGUAACAUGGCUAAUGAAAAAAAAAAAAAAAAAAAAAAAAAAAAAAAGAUAAAGACCGCCAUUAGAUUACGUGUACCUAAUUUUAAGCACCAUAGCUUUUAGUGACCAGUCAGUCCAAAUACCAAGUUAUAGGAAAGUCUCGCUUAAUAAUUACUAACUUCUAACAAACUACGUAUCAUGUAAAACCUGAUUUGUUUUAUGGGUUUGUCACGUGGAUCCAAUCAUCCAACUGCAGGUUAUGUAUUGUGGUUUAAUUAAUAGUAGGAGCAAUUUCUCUUGACAUGAACAUACAACUACUUAAACAAAAUAGGCUGCACUACAAUGCUGUAUUAUCAAACUCAUAGAGGUGGGGGAGAAAUGGCAAGAAGGUAUUGGAACAUCCAUUUGGAAGAGAUGAUGGAAGCAGGAAUUCAUUUUCGAAAGAUACAACAAUAUUAUGUAAGUAUAUACAUUUAAGAAGUGUAUUCUUCUAUUCCUUUCAAGAACUACCACUACAGGCAAGAAUGAAUUUACUUACGAAUUGCAGCCAGGAAAAUCAGUGCGAAUGCUUUUUUCUGCAACAACCUAAGUAUAAUACAGCAAUUAGUAAACAAAACAGAAAUACAUACAACAGCUAUAGCAUUCAUAUUAGAUUCAACUUUUAGAUAAAUGCUCUUGGUUUGGUUAUCAAACAUACUCAGUACCAUAUCCUAGCUCUGGCUUUCAUUUUAAAGUAAAGAUGAGAUGGCAAAUUCAUCAGUUACUCAAGAAAGAGAAGAAAAGAUGGAAAGAACCCUUUAAACGCUACAUCCACAGUGUCGUACAGACACAAGAAAUAAUGACCGCUGGUCAAAUGUGUCUCUUACAAAAUAAGAAAUCCACCCAGGAAACAGUUAAAAAGAGACUGAGUGAGGAAGGGAGAUCCCAAGACUACAAGCAGGACCACUGGUCAGGUGUGACUGUCAAAAUAAAAAAAAAAAGAGAUCCACCAGGAAACGAAACAGUUGAAAGAGAGGGAGCGAGCGAGGGAGGAUGCCUAAGCAUUCAGAAUAAAUAACCAGUUUCUUUUUCCUCUUUAUUUUUUUUAAGAAACAAAAGAAUUUAUUAAUAAAAAUGGAAACUACCAAAAACAAAAAAUGGAUGAGCAGACCACAAAGACUCUUCUUUAUUCCAAUAUUCCAUCAUAUUUUAACUCAUAUCAAACACAAUAUGGAAGAGAUGAAAAGCAAGAAUCCAAGCUAGAUUAAAAGAAUGUAUAACCUAGAGUAAUAUCCAAAUGCCUCAAUCCCCUUUCACACCUCUACGUGUAUCUUCUCUUCUAUAACCACCUAAACCGCAAGCGAAAUGCCUACCCAAGAAAGAGAAGGAAAACAUGGUAACAAUUGUUUACCUCAAGCCAACUAACAUCAACAAGAGGUUUCUUAGCCACAAUGGCAUCGAGAAGUUCCCCUUUCACUCGCAUGUGAUGCUGAACAAGAAUGUGCGUGCACUCUUGGCAAAACUUACUAGUAAUGAAAGCACCUAUAUUACAAGAAAUUAUUUGUUAACCACAAAUUGCACAAAGCACAUGGCUUCUUAAGCAGGAGUAGAAUCUUCAUUAAAUAUUAGCGAAUACAUAUAGAAAAUUUCCUACUAAGAAAUUGCGUCUCACUAACCUAUUGAUGAAACUUUUUCUUGUAGGGGAGCAUUUACUUGGAAGGAGUCAACAAAGAGUAUGAGUGGAGCAUAACAAAACCUGCAAGAUUAACUAAAAUUUGAAACUACUCAUAACCAACAGAGUUCGACAUAACAGUUAACUAAUACAAGCAUAGGAGUCCUAAAUAAUAAAAAACAAACGAAAAUGCCCAACCCAAGUUCAAGGAAGUUACCUGUAAGUAGCAUUACCGGUUCCAAAUGAAACCAAAUCACCAUCCUUCAAGGUUGCUUCUUUAUUUGGAAAUUCAUGAACUUUUUCCUUCGACCCAAGAUUCUUAUUAAUAAAUGUUCCAUAUUUUGAGCAAUCCUUAAUCCGAACUCUGGUAGUGGAAACCUUAGAAGAUUUGUCUUGAAAGGGGUUCAAAGAAAUCAUUUCAUCAACCAAUAUCUCCGCGUGAACACGCGAAACCCCUUUGUCUUUGUUAAUAAUUAUAUCACAACCUAAAAGAAAUUUAUAAAUUUAGCCAUACAUAAUAUAUCAUAUACUCAACCAUCAGUACAAAUAUCCAAAUACAAUUAAAUAGCUAAUACCUUUUCGACCCACUUUGUAAUUCCCUUUGCUGAAAAUGUAGUACUUGUCUUCACCUGUGAACAUAAAACUGAAUUAAAUUAAUUUUAAGUCGGAGUAAGAGCCUAGAAAGAAAAGAAAAAAUGAUGGAAAAAUGGAAGAGAAAAUUGGGGUAAAUGAUGAAAGGAACCUGGGAGAGGAUCGAUUGGAAAGAGACCCCACACCAUGAUUUCUUAUUUUCGAUGAAACAAAAACUUCUUCAGUGAUUGAAUCACCAUCAAAAGCCAAUGCAAACUAAUACUCAGCGUUUUACGAUUUGUUUCGCGCCUUCUUCUCCUCUGGCCUCUGGGGUUUGUAAUUAUGCUUUCUUCCCAAACCUGGGCUAUAAACAUAAUUUUCAAAAAAAAUUGUCAUUUAUAUACAAUUAUUUAUUCAUCUAAUCAUUUUUUAGGAUAUAUUGGUCACCAUGGGCCGAACUUGUAUAAUGAGUGGGCCAAACACGCCAGAGCCCACUUCCACUGCACAGCCCCAAACCGUGAAUAGACCUAUUAACACUCCUGUAGUCUCCAUUUAAAACUUCUUUUCAUGUCGAGACCUACUUUAAUUCUAAAAUUAUCCUUUUCUUUCACUAAUAAAAACCCAUACCUGAUAAAAUAAUAAAAAGGAAUGAUAUAUCAGUAUAAUCAUAUUGAUUAGAAUGUAAAGUGUUCAUGAGAAAAUUAUAUAUAUAUAAGAAAAAUAUUAUUGUGGUUUUGUAAGUAUAAAGAGUGAAACUUACAUAGAGAGAAAAUCUAAGGUUUAAUCAAAUUUAUUUUAUCCAUUGAUGUAUCAUGUAAUUGUGAUUGGAGCAGAGGUUUUAUAGACCCACUCCAAAUCAUAACCAAUGGUCCAGCCCAAUUUGAGUUGUGUGGUCCAAUAAUAGGCUUUCGAAAUGUAUGGUGUUUUUAACACCCCUUAAAGAUUCUUGUAACACCCCCUUCAAAUUUUUAUCUCCUAUGAUACUCCAUUUAAUUUAUAAAACAUAAACCUAUAUAUCAAAAUUAACCAUCCUCCAAUAAAAUUUCACCUUAAAAAAAUAUUUUUUAAUUUUUUUUUAAAUAAAUAGAGAUUCUAAAAUCUUUAAUUAUAAAUAGAUGAUUAAUAUCUCCAUAACUGAAAAAUCUUAUAAUUAAAAAAAAUAUCAAUUAAAGUUUAAAAUAUGAAUGGGAUUGGUAUAAAAAAAUUUACUAAAAGAAUAUUUAUUUAAGUGUUAAUUUAAUCCCCUCAAUUUAUCUCACCAUCCCCCACAU
rnacentral:lncRNA from 1 species